rnacentral:lncRNA from 1 species
ACAGCACCAACGACCACCAGCGCCUCCCACUGCCAGCCUCAGCUCACCCGAAGCAAAGCUAGCGAGUAGCACGCAAUGGCGGGCGCGACCAUGGCGCUCUCCUCCCCGGCGAUGGCGGGCACCCCGGUGAAGGCCUCCAGGGCGGCGCCCUUCGGCGAGGGCCGCAUCACCAUGCGCAAGACGGCGGGCAAGCCCAAGGUGGCGGCGUCCAGCAGCCCGUGGUACGGCUCCGACCGCGUGCUCUACCUCGGCCCGCUCUCCGGCGACCCCCCGAGCUACCUCACCGGCGAGUUCCCCGGCGACUACGGCUGGGACACCGCGGGCCUCUCCGCCGACCCCGAGACCUUCGCCAAGAACCGGGAGCUGGAGGUGAUCCACUGCCGCUGGGCCAUGCUCGGCGCGCUCGGCUGCGUCUUCCCGGAGCUGCUCGCCCGCAACGGCGUCAAGUUCGGCGAGGCCGUGUGGUUCAAGGCCGGCUCCCAGAUCUUCAGCGAGGGCGGCCUCGACUACCUCGGCAACCCCAGCCUGGUGCACGCGCAGAGCAUCCUCGCCAUCUGGGCCUGCCAGGUGGUGCUCAUGGGCGCCGUGGAGGGCUACCGCGUCGCCGGCGGCCCGCUCGGCGAGAUCGUGGACCCGCUCUACCCCGGCGGCAGCUUCGACCCCCUGGGCCUCGCCGAGGACCCCGAGGCGUUCGCGGAGCUCAAGGUGAAGGAGAUCAAGAACGGCCGCCUCGCCAUGUUCUCCAUGUUCGGCUUCUUCGUGCAGGCCAUCGUCACCGGCAAGGGGCCCCUGGAGAACCUCGCCGACCACCUCGCCGACCCCGUCAACAACAACGCCUGGGCCUUCGCCACCAACUUCGUCCCCGGCAAGUGAGCGCGGUCAGCUCAACCUCUAGGCCGACAACUUCAUGGCUGAUGGAUGCUGCUGCAUGUGUGUCGUCGUCGAUCUCUGCUUCUUCCCGUUGUGAGAUUGAGUAGUCCGGACUGAUAGAUGUUGCAUGUGAGGGCGAGUCGAGAUGAGGAGUUGGUGUGUGUACACUAAGAUGGUGUUUGUGUAAUAUCUGGCUAUUUUCUCAGAUUAAUCAAGGCAUCUCUGUUCUUCUGCUUAACUUCUUGGUUUCUCUGAACUUCUGAAUGUCAAAUACAGAAGUUCUCCGAAUAUUUUUCUGGAAGUCCAACCAGCUAAAGUAUUCAAAUUCAUAAAGGCAUUCAGAUCAUCCAUUUCAAGACUGAUCGACUCAACAAUCCUGUAAAUACAAUUCCAUUUGUACAUAUAACAAAUACUCUGCAAAUCUAGGGUUUCCUACGGUAAAAAAAAAGAAGUAAAAUGGAAAGCUAGGACUAGUGCAACUUCCUUCUGAAGAAGAAAGUUGCAGUUACUACUGUGCUACCGGCCUUGCAGAACGGUCAUGGCAAUGGUAUUCCUGCUGUUCUCGAGAUCGGUCCUCUGGAUCUUCUCUUCCAUCAUACCCAGGUACCCUGGCUGGUUCGGCGCCGGAAGAGACGCUGAUGCCACCACUGGCGCGCUUCCAUUCUCCAAGAUGGACACGACGGACGACAUGAGCGGCCUCCUGCUCGGGUCGUCUUGGACGCACAGGAGCCCGACGUGGAUGCACAGCAAUGCCUCAUCCUUUGGACACCUCUCUGCCAUGGAGGGAUCCACCAGCUUGCCUGCCUUCCCUUCCCUCCACAGGUGCCAUGCCUACAUGAAACAAUCAAAUCAAAUCAUGCCUACAUGAAACAAUCAAAUCAGCCAUGUGAAACAAUCAAAUCAUGACAGCUCUCUAUCCGUCGUUGGGACAUAGUGCUUACAUAGACUAUCAGGCUAGGAAACUCCAUGAUGGCAUAGGUUGUGCUUAUCCUAAUGCCGCUCACGAUCUCCAGCAGCAGCACGCGGAAGCUGUACACGUCGGACUUGAUGGAGAACACGCCCUCCGUCAAGUACUCGGGAGCAAUGUAGCCACUGUCCAUACAAAUAUAUAUUUUUGUUUGAAGAGGUGUCACAUUUUUGUUGUCAAAUGCUAACUACCAUACCAACUACAGACAAAAUUCUCUUCUUCUCUCUGUAAAUUCAGUAAAGUGUUCAAAUUACUCACUAUGUCCCGACGACACUCUUGGUGUUGGCUUUGACCUGGUUGUCGCCGAAGAUCUUUGCCAUGCCGAAGUCGGCGAUCUUGGGACACAUCUCGGCGUCCAGCAGCACGUUGCUGGCCUUGAGGUCCCUGUGUAUCACCGUCAGCCUUGAGUCCUGGUGAAGAUAGAGCAGCCCGGCCCCUAGCCACCCCCUUGAUGAUCCCCAGCCGCGUCGGCCAGUCCAGCACCCAUUUCCUCCCAUUAUCUGCAGCAAAAAUAAUAACAAACCAUUGUUCUCCUAUAAAACUUCAACAAAAUCAAAUUCAGUAACUUCAGUUGUGAUGAUUUGAGCUCUGAAGACUGAACAAUAUAUGUACCGAAGAGGAUGGCGUCGAGGCCCUUGUUUGGCAGGUACUCGUAGAUGAGCAGCUUCUCGGCCCCCUCGGUGCAGCAGCCGAGAUGGCAGACCAGGUUCCGGUGCUGCAGCUUGGCCAUCAGAGUCUCCUCGUUCUAGAACUCCUCUGCUCCCUGAUCUGAGUCCUUGCUCAGCCUCUUCAAGGCGACCACCUGACCACCGUCUAGUGUUGCCUUUCCAAUAGUAAACAGAAACAAGAUCAUGGAUUUAUGUAGUUUGGCAACUGAGUUUUGUGCAGGAGAUUUAGGUGUUAGUAAGUACUCCGGCCUUCCUGAAUUACUUGACAUAGUAGUAAUUCGGGAUGGAAGGAGUAUAUCCAAAGUUUUAAAUUUAUCUAAAAAUACACCAUUCUCCCUAAUUUUUAAGGUAUUAUAAUCAAUUGAGGUCCCAAAUUUGGAAUUGGGUCAUUCAAUUUUUGAUCGACUCAACAAUUUCUUAAAAAGCUCUCUCAUUCUUUUUUUUUUAAAUUCACUAUGCUCCUUAAUUUUAGAACUUUUCAUUAUAUUGAGGUAUUUAAUUCUAGAUUUCAUUCAUGAUUUUGACAGGAAAAUGAUUUUUUAAAUCAAUCGGGAACACCCGGCCAAUAAAAAUAAAUCAAUCCCACACAUCAUCUCACCACCUAGAAAAAAAAUAAGCGUUAACAUGUGAUAUUGUAGCACCAAGUACAUGCAAACACCAUCACAGAACAUUUCCUCACAUAAGUAUGGGUAAAUUAGCAGAUAACACAGAAUCACACCAUGAAACGCACACCAAAACACGACAAUAUAAAUAUAAGGUGUACCUGUUUUUUGAAAAGUCAAAUUUAUUUAACUAUAACCAAGUUCAGAGCCAAAAUUUUGUCAUUCACAAUACUAAAUAAAUAAAAUAUGAAAAUAAAUUUCAUGAUGAAUCUAAUGAAGCCUAUUUGAUAUUAUGAAUAUUGACAUACUUCCUUAUAAAUCUGGCCAAACUUAAAGAGAUUUGACUUUUCAAAAAACUAAUACACCUCAUAUUUUGAAACAUAGGUACUAUUGUUUUUAUGAAAUCCCAACAACACUAAUGGCGCAGCAAAGCGCGCCAAACCCUUCUAGUAAAUACACUAUGCUUCAUAAUUUUUAAGGCCUCACAAUCAAUUAAGAUCUCUAAUUUAGAAUUCGAUCAUUCGAUUUUGACCGGGUCAACAUCCCAUUCAAUUCUUUUGGUUCACUAUGCUGCCUAAUUUUAAUGUUUCACAAUCAUUCAGGUCUUCAAUUAGGAAUUGGAUCUCCUAUUUUGAUCGGUCAACAAUUUGUUAAGGACUUCUCUCAUUCAAUUCUUUUAAUUCACUACGAUCCUUAGUUUUGGAGUUUUUUCAUUCGAUUGAGGUAUUUAAUUUUAGAUUUGAUUCAUGAUUUUGACCAAGUCAAUGAUGUUUUUUUUCAAAUCAAUCAGCAGCAACCAGUCUAUAAAAAUAUAUCAAUUCUGCACACCCCUCUCACCACCUAGAAAAAAAAGAAGCACCAAUAUGUGCUAAUGUAGCUCCAAUAUAGAAUAUGCAACCGCUGACGCCAAAAAAAAUUCCCCACAUAGGUACGAAUAGAUUAGCAGAUAAUAUAGAAUCACAUCGCGAAAGGUCCAUCAAAAAACUAUGUUAUAAAUAAAAAAAACACUCCAUCAUCUCCCCCAUUCACAAAACCAAAUACUAAAUAUAAUACGUAUUUUUUUAAAAUUUAAAUUUCUUUAACUUUGAUCGAGUUCAAAGCCAAAAAUAUCGACAUUCACAAUACUAAAUAAAUAAAACAGGAAAAUUUUCUUCAUGAUGAAUUUAAUGAUACCGAUUUGAUAUUAUGAAUAUUGAUAUAUUUCUCUAUAAAUUUGGUCGAACUUAAAGAGGUUUGACUUUUCUAAAAACUAAUACACCUUAUAUUUUGAAACAGAUGAAGUAAAAUUUUAUGAAAACCCGACAAUAUCAACGCUGGAGCAAAGUGCGUCCUACCCUUCUAGUAAUUGGCAAUAGCCUGGAGGGGAUUUCUUGCUCCCAAGCUCCAUGAAGCUAGGUUUAAAAAAGAAAUGAGAUUUUAAGUUUAAAACAUUCUGAAAGUAAACACACAUGUGCAUUGAUAUUUAUAUACUAAGUUCCUGUAAAUUCUUAUCAUGAGAUAAAUUUUGUUUUGGGCUAAGAAAAAUCAUGGACUUUUAUAAUAAAUACAGACUCUGUUCCAAAAUAAGUGCCAUGGCUUCAGUUCAAAGCCACAACACUUACUUGGAAUGGAGAGAAUACAUGUGCUAGAAAUAUAUGAUUUUGUCUUUUUCACGUAGCUCACAUCAAAAUAUAUCUUAUUGUGAAAUUUUAUAGAAAUGCGGUAUACAAUACUAUGUUCAUGUGUAAAAUUUUCAGAUUUUUAAACCUAAAUAAUCUCUGGGUCUCAAAUUAGCGACUCAAUUUUAUACUAACACUAGUAGAAAAAGGGCUUUUAGUCCCGGUUCAUAAGGGCCUUUAGUCCCGGUUCUGGAACCUGGGACUAAAGGGUCGUUACUAAAGCCUCCCCCUUUAGUCCCGGUUCUUACACGAACCGGGACUAAAGGCUCUCCACGUGACCGCUGCCUGGAGGUCCAUCUUUAGUCCCGGUUGGUAACAUCAACCGGUACUAAAGGAAAUUUUAUGAUUUUUUAAAAAAAAUUGAAUUUUUUUUUUGGAAUAUUUCUUUUGGAUUUUCAAAUUUCAGAAAUAUUUUAACCUCUCAUCUCUAAUCACCCCUCAUCACUGCUCAAUUUAACCUCUAAUCACCCCUCAUCAUCUAACUUCCCGGACGGUCACCCAUCCUCUCACUACUCCAGCCUGAGCACGCUUAACUUUCGGGUUCUUGUGACGCCCCCGAUUCAAUCGUACACUAAUCAUACACGCAAACGUGUACGAUCAAGAUCAGGGACUCACGGGAAUAUAUCACAACACAACUCUACAAAUAGAAUAAGUCAUACAAGCAUCAUAAUACAAGCCAGGGGCCUCGAGGGCUCGAAUACAAGUGCUCGAUCAUAGACGAGUCAGCGGAAGCAACAAUAUCUGAAUACAGACAUAAGUUAAACAAGUUGCCAUAAGAUGGCUAGCACAAACUGGAUACAGAUCGAAAGAGGCGCAGGCCUCCUGUCUGGGAUCCUCCUAAACUAUUCCUGGUCGUCGUCAGCGGCCUGCACGUAGCAGUAGGCACCUCCAGAGUAGUAGUCAUCGUCGACGGUGGCGUCUGGAUCCUGGGCUCCAACGUCUGGUUGCGGCAUCCGAGAAGAAGAGAAAAAUAGGGGAAAAGAGGGAGCAAAGCAACCGUGAGUACUCAUUCAAAGUACUCGCAAGCAAGGAGCUACACUACAUAUGCAUGGGUAUAUGUGUAAGGAGGCAAUAUGAGUGGACUGAACAGCAGAAUGCCAGAAUAAGAGGGGGGAUAGCUAGUCCUAUCGAAGACUACGCUUCUGGCAGCCUCCGUCUUGCAGCAUGUAGAAGAGAGUAGAGUGAAGUCCUCCAAGUAGCAUCGCAUAGCAUAAUCCUAUCCGGCGAUCCUCCCCUCGUCACCCUGUGGAAGAGCGAUCACCGGGUUUUCUGUGGAACUUGUCUGGGUGUGUUUUAUUAAGUAUCCUGUUCUAGUUGUCAUAAGGUUAAGGUACAACUUUGGGUCGUCCUUUUACCGAGGGACACGGCUAUUCGAAUAGAUUAUCUUCCCUGCAGGGGUGCACCACAUAACCCAACACGCUCGAUCCCAUUUGGCCGGACACACUUUCCUGUGUCAUGCCCGGCCUCGAAAGAUCAACACAUCGUAGCCCCACCUAGGCACAACAGAGAGGUCGGCACGCCGGUCUAAAUCCUAUGCGCGCAGGGGUCUGGGCCCAUCGCCCAUUGCACACCUGCACGUUGCGAGGGCGGCCGGAAGCAGAACUAGCCCCCUUAAUACAAGAGCAGGCUUACGUUCCAAUCCGGCGCACGCCACUCAGUCACUGACGUCACGAAGGCUUCAGCUGAUACCACGACGUCGAGAGCCCAUAUCUUUCCCGUGUAGUUGGUUAGUGCGUAUAGGCCAAUGGCCAGACUCAGAUCAAAUACCAAGAUCUCGUUAAGCGUGUUAUCAUGAAGCAACCGCGAAUGCCGACCAGGGCCAGGCCCACCUCUCACCUGGGUGGUCUCAACCUGCCCUGUCGCUCCGCCACAAAGAUCCACACAGAGGGCCGUCGGGACAAAGGUCCUUUCAGCCCCCAAUCCGUGAAUCACUCGCGGGUACUCAACGAGCCGACCCGACUUUAGUCACCAUCUGUAUAGUAUGUAUAUAAGUAUAGUAUAUACCCGUGAUCACCUCCCGAGUGAUCACGGCCCAAUACUAUUGCAAGGCAGACUGACAAGAAUGUAGGGCCAAUGAUGAUAACUAGCAUCCUAUACUAAGCAUUUAGGAUUGCGGGUAAGGUAUCAAUGACUGUAGAAACAAUGACAGGAUAUGCAACAGAAUAGGAGUAACCGAACAGUAACAUGCUACACUACUCUAAUGCAAGCAGUAUAGAGAAGAAUAGGCGAUAUCUGGUGAUCAAGGGGGGGGGGGCUUGCCUGGUUGCUCUGGCAAGUAGGAGGGGUCGUCAACUCCGUAUUCGAACUGGGCAGCAGCAGCGUCGGUCUUGGUGUCUACCAGAGAGAAGAGGGGGAAGAAACAAUGAGUACAAUGCAAACAGAUGCAUAUCAAUGCAUGACAUGACAAGUAACGAUGCUAGGUGUGCCGAAUCGCGGUAGUGGUGAUACCAACGAAGGGGGAAAACAUCCGGGAAAGUAUUCCCGGUGUUUCGCGUUUUCGAACAGAUGAACCGGGGGGGAAGUUGCGUGUUCGCUAUGCUAGGGAAGUGUGGCGGACGAACGGGCUGCGAAUCCGGAUUCGUCUCAUCGUUCUGAGCAACUUUCAUGUAGAAAGUAUUUUCAUCCGAGUUACGGUUAAAAGAUAUGAUUUUCUAAAGACUUAAAUCUUUUUCUGAUUUUUAAUUAUUUAUCUAAAGCCAACAUUAUCCAGAACAGUGUUUGAUGACGCAAGCAUGACAUCAGAGUGAUGUCAGUAGGUCAACUGGUCGGUUGACCAGUCAACCCAGACAGGUGGGUCCAGUGGGACCCACAUGUCAUUGUCAGGGGCAUUAACAGAGUUUUAAAACUAACUAAAUGGUUUAAUUAGCAGGUGGGGUCCAGUAGUCAGUGAGAGAUUAGGUUUUAAUUAAUUAAUUUAAUUAAUUAGCAGUUUAUCUAUUUGUUUUUAUUCGUUUUAUGGCAUGGGGCCCGCAUGUCAGUGGCAGUAGCUGCCACGUCAGCGUAGUUGACUUCGGUCAACGUGGCCAGUUGGGGCCCCCAGGCCCACAAGCAGUGACCCAGGGGUGGGCCCCGGUGUGCCAGCUCAGCGGAGCCGCCGGAGUAGCUCCGGCGAGCUCGCGCGCAGCGGCCGAACGCCAGCGAGCGUCGGGAUUCGCCUAUGGCGCAUCAUUUCAGCCGCGGUUGGGCGCGUUCGAACGGUGAGGCUGGGCCGCAUCCAUCCGUGGUGGUGGCUCGGGCCGUAACGGCCGGAAUCUUCACCGGUGGUGAGUGGAGGCGGUGGUGGCGUUCGGGACAUCAUCGGGAUCGCGCUAGGAAGCACCAAACCGCGUGCAACAACUUGCGUUCGAACCGUACAGGCAUUCCGCGUUGUUUCGCGGUGGCACUGGACCAAAUGGUCGCCGGAAACACGGCCGGCGACAAGCUUUGGCGGCAGCGCGCUCGGGACGUCGAUUGAAAGUAAGCUAGGAGGCACGGGGAGGCUCAGGCGUGGGCUCAUUGGGCUCCUACGAGCACCAGGAGUUCGAUGUCGCGCUCAGGCGAGCACGACAGAGGCCAUGGCCACGGCGGCGAAGCGACCUGCGGCGGUGAGCUCUCGGGCGCGACACCGAGCUAGCUACAGCGCGUGCGGGAGAUAACGGGGAGGAGCAGGAGGCGGGAGGGCUCACCGUGCGGCUCACACGUAGGCCUGUGACAGAUUAGUAGCAGCAGAGGCUGGCGCCGGAGAUGAAGAAGAACGCGGCAUACGUAGAUGUGGGCGAAGAGGAUCCGGUGAUUCGGGGCUCCCCAGCUCCAGCCGAGGCCUCCAGUGGACGAGGAGGACGAAGGAGGAUUGCUACGGCAUCACGGCGAGUCGAGGCGAUGGCGGUGGCCGUGGUGAUGACAGGGAACGGCGGCGAGCGCGUCGGUCUCCUCUCCAAAACGAAGCAGAGGGAGAGGAGAGGGGUUGAUCUGGGGGAGGAGAGGCACAAGAACCGAGGCGAGAGUGGGGGCGAGUGGGAGGCGGGAUCGAGGAGGCGGGGGGGGCGUGGCGGCCUUAUCCUCUCCCGUCGCCGGCGAGGGGGUGCGGCGGGGACGCGCCCUGUUUCGACCCUGGUCGGGGGAACAGGGAAGGGGAGGGAGCGACCGAGCGAGGUGGGCCAGGCCGGCUGGAUGGGCCGGCCGGUUGUGAGCUGGGUCGUCUGGUCCAAGAGAGGGGCGGGGGUUUCUUUUCCUUUUGUCUUAUUUUCACUUUUUCUUUUUUAUUUAUUUUCUUUUCUGUUUUAUUUCAUUUUAAAAUAUUUAGGCAUUUUCUAAAAAUGUGUUCACUUCACCAUAAUUACCUAUGCAUUAUUUGGCACCCACCGAACAUUUUUGUUUUGAUAUUUGAACAUUUUUUAUUGUUUGCUUGAUUUUGGAUUUGAAUUCAAAUCGGUUUCGAACUAACGCGAGAUUAGCAACAGUAAUCGAGGUGACGUGGCAUCAUUAGUGGAGGGUUACUGUAGCUUAAUUAUCCGGGCGUCACAGUUCUAUUCUCCCUCAUUUUCAAGUCUGCACUUGUUGUUUUCCUGACAAUAGUAAGAUAUCAAUCCUAUUAACUUCAGGAAUUUAGCUUGAGCAUGAAGUCACACAUUUCACUGUUUGAGUUUGAAACUAUUGUUCUAAAAAAUAACAUUAAUAUUUCUUGAAUAAUUAGUUUGACCACAGUUUGACCAGAUUUGACCAAAAUUCAAAAAAACUAAAAUAAUUAUUUAGUAACACCAAUAUUCUUGAAUAAUUAUUUAGUAACACUAAUACUUCUUGAAUAAGUAGUUUGACCAUAGUUUGACCAGAUUUAACAAAGAUUAAAAAAAACUGAAAUUUGAGCAUAACUAUUUUUUUCUUUUUCAUAUUACGUAUCAUAUUUUGAAAAACAAUUCCCCAAAAAAAAUUCGAAACUAAUAUUUUUUCUGUUACGGUGUGCCACUAGUAAGUUUGAAAUAUUUUUGAAUUUUUUUGCCUCCAGAUCUUAAAAGCCCCGUAACUUUUUUCUGUUAGGUUUUUGAGGAUUUUGAAAAUGUUUAACGGGGUUUCCCCGGUUAAAUUUGGAUGUAACUUUUCGAAUAGAUGAUUUUUCAUAUAAAAAACUUUUUCAUCCGAGUUAGUAUACAAAAGUUAUGCCCAUUUUACAAAUUCCAGAGAGAUUUUGCAAAUAAAGUCGAAAUUCACAUUUGCAAAUUUUCCCAACAACUAGACCACAUAUGACAUGGGAAACUUAUUUUCUUUUAUUUUUGACAUUUUCAUCAUUUUANNNNNNNNNNNNNNNNNNNNNNNNNNNNNNNNNNNNNNNNNNNNNNNNNNNNNNNNNNNNNNNNNNNNNNNNNNNNNNNNNNNNNNNNNNNNNNNNNNNNNNNNNNNNNNNNNNNNNNNNNNNNNNNNNNNNNNNNNNNNNNNNNNNNNNNNNNNNNNNNNNNNNNNNNNNNNNNNNNNNNNNNNNNNNNNNNNNNNNNNNNNNNNNNNNNNNNNNNNNNNNNNNNNNNNNNNNNNGGUUGGUGGCUCGAACCGGUACUAAAGGUGUAACCUUUAGUAUCGGUUGGUGCCACGAACCGAUACUAAUGGGCAUCGCAUCCUUUAUUCCCGGUUCGUGGCACCAACCAGGACUAAAAGGUCCAGACGAACCGGGACAAAUGGCCCACGUGGCCCGGCCGCCCCCCUGGGCUCACGAACCUUAUCAAUGCCCUCAUGGGUCCCGGUUCUGGACUGAACCAAGACUAAUGGGCUAACCUGACCUGGACCAAAGCCCUCUUUUUUACUAGUGUAACUUUGCUCAAUUUUGUACUAACUUCGUGUUAAAGUUAGUAUAAAAUGGAGUCACUAUUUUGGGACGGAGGAAGUUAUGCUUAUUUUUUAAAGUCCAGGUUCUUGGAGCACAAGAUCCAAAAAGGAAUUUUCGGCUAGUGCCCCGCUAUUGUGUCACUAUAGCUAAUUCGAAGGAAUGCUGAUGUUUAGCAUAGCUCACUCUUCAAUACUAUGAGUAUACCUUGUAAACCUUGCCGAAACCUCCUCGUCCGAUCAUCAAUGUCUUGGAGAAGUUGUCCGUGGCGGCGACGAUAUCGGCGAACCGUAUGGAGGGGAACUCAAGGUCACCACUGUGAUCUACUUCUCCGAUUUCGCUAGAUGUGUUUGUGGUCCCGGUCCCGGGCACCAGCUUAUUUUGGCUCUCGGUGAAAUUAGUUCCCUUGCCUGUGGAAUAGGCGUUGUGAGCAUUUUGUGUAAGAAUGAUCGAGCAUGACAUGUUUUGAUGUAAGAAAGAGAAGGGAAAAAAAAUGAAUGUACCUCUGAAUCUACGGAACCAUAGGAAGCAAAUGCAUGAGAGCAGCAGGGCAGCUGCCAACAACGGCAGUGCUAUCUUGACUGCAUUUCUACCUGCACAUUGAAAUGCAGGGAAAAAGUUUGAUGAAAAAACACAUUUUGUGGUCUGAAUUCGGUAAAGAUUCGACAGAAUUUCGAGAAAGUUCGAUGGGGAAAAUGCAUAUGUUUCUGUUGUACCUGUGGAAGUAGCAGCAAUGGGCACGGGGAGGCGGAGGUAGAGCUCGCCGGCCGCGCCGAUCAUCUGUGCGUCGACGAGCUCCUCUGCCCACACCAGGCACCGGCCCAGUUCGCCCGCGUACGCGUAGGCCACACACGAGCAGUUGGCUGCGCACCUCGCCGCGCAAUCCUCCGCGCUCCGGUUGCCGGCGCCGAGCAUGAACUUGUCCGGCACCGUCAUGCUCGGCAUCGACACAAAACCCUCCCCGUCGCUGCCGCAUGCCGGCAGUGCCUGAUUCCGCCGGCACACCUGCUCGAACCUGCCGGAGCUCCACUCCGCCGCACUUGCUGGCUCGAACCCAUCGAGGCACCUGCACGCCGCCGGCGCCGCCAUGACGUCGCAGUACCCGUACGCGCCGCAGCGCCCAUAGCUGCUGCACCCGCUCGACGGCCACGACUGGAGCGUGUCCCAGGCCGACGUGGUGCCGUUCCAGCUGAGAAGCUGGAAGCUGCCGGAGCCGAUUUUUUGUCGAAAGAGACCAUUUGCCCAAUAGAAUUACCAAAAAAGAUCCCCUCUAAACAAAAAUAACAAAAAAGACUCUCUGAGCCGUGGUGGCAGGCGCGCCGGGCGACGUGUGGCACCUGCCGCCAUGGUGGGAGGCGGCACGGUGCCAGGCACCAGGCCGGUGAUUACGGGAAUCGGCGCGAACAACGAAACGGGAUGGCAGUGUGGGGCCCAGCCGCUCAGGUGGUGGCGGCAAUACUGUAGCGGCGGGCCCGGCCGCCUGGAAGGCUGGCGGCAGGCCUGUGCGCUGCGUUGUGGUUGGAGAGUAGCUAUCGGAAAGUCUGAACAGAACUUGAGUUGCGUGCGCCCACGGCGUUGCUGGGAGACGGGAUGCAAGCCGACUGACCGACGCUCAUCUUUUUCCAAGGUUUCGUCUCGUCGGCUCUCCCGAGUGCAGAGUGCUCGCCAAGUGCAUGCGCACCAAAUAUCGCGUUCGGUUGUGCGUAGCAUAGCUACAGGGGUCAGGGGUACAUUAGGUACAUUAGAUGGAAAUGAUAGAUCACUGUCGAAUUCAGAUGAUGAUGCUAACGUCUGUUUGAUUGAUGAGCUGCCUUGAUUGAUGCAAGUGUGGGAGACGGGAUGCAAGCCUGGAAGUCGUCUCCCAACCGAGGCAGCGCGCAGCGCACAGGCCUGCCGCCAGCCCUCCAGGCGGCGCGGCCCGCUGCUACAGUGCUGCCGCCACCACCAGAGGCGGCUGGGCCCCACACUGCCAUCCUGUUCCGUUGCUCGCGUCGAUUCCUGUAAUCACCGGCUUGCCGCCUCGCACCGUGACGGCAGGUGCCACGCGUCGCCCGGCACACCUGCCGCCACGGUUUAGGGGGUCUUUUCUGUCACUUUCAUCCGGAUGGGGUCUGUUUGGCAAUUCUGUUGAGCAGAUGGUCUCUUUCGACAAAAAAUCUGCCAGAGCUGGUCAGCACGUACCGCAUGGGCGCCGCGCCGACGGGCACAGUGAAGGUGAUGGCGACCUCCUCCUCGGAGGCCACGACCGCCGUGCUGACCGUGCCGGCGCUGAUGUAGUUGGUGGAGACGUUGUGCCCCGUCCAGACGGGAUUGCGCCAGUACGUAGGGGCGCGUGCCGUUCCACAUGAGCAGCUGCAGCGACGAGCCGGGGUCCAGGCCGUAGGAGAAGGGCCCCGGCGCCGGGUCGCGUGGAGAUCUCCAGGACACGAGCCAGCCAGCCAUGCCCGUGUGGCUCAGCCGCACCUCCAUCCUCGGCAGGAACGUGUCCGUCGGGUGGUCGAAGCUCUGCCACACCACCGUGCCGUCCGGCAGCUGGAUGAGCAAGUUGCCGUCGUUCCCGAGCUCGGCUGGCGCCGUCUGCAAGGACGAGCUGCCCACGCCGGUCGUGUUCCAGAGCACGCGGCCGUUGGGGUCGGACGGGACGAGGCUGGAGUCGUUGGCCAGCGUGAGCGUCGGAGCGCCGGCGGCCGGGGCGUCCCGGUUGGCCACCCAGACUACGGUGCGAGGCCCGGGGAUGCUACGGUACCAUAGCCAAGGUACAACCGUGUCGCGGCUGAGUCGUCCGGGGAGAAGAAGCCCAGGGCGAAGGCGCCGCUGUAGGACACGAUGAUCUCCCCGGACUGUAGCUUGUCCCCGACGGCCAGCUGGUCCUCGGCCGAAAUGCACGGGAGGCAGACGGCGGCGACGGCGAUGAGGACGGCAACAGAACGUGACAGGUCCAUGGAUCAAAUUCAAGGUGCGUGCAGCCACAUUACCUCUUUACUCUUGUUUGGCGACAUUUCGACUUCGUCAGGGCAGUGCAUGAACCUUACGUUCUUGCUCUUGGCUCUGCAAGGCGAUGCAGCCACCACACGAGGACACGACUUUGUGGAGUCAUACGUACUGACUAGUUUCAGUCUCGUCUCUAGUGUGUGCGCGUUACGUACACGCAAGCGGCAAUGCUACACGUACAAACGAUUUACAGGCUUUUACAGGAUGGUUAAUCUUGAUUGGUCAAUAGGUGAGCGGGGCGGCCCACCCCUGAAAAUCAGGGGGGGAGAGGUUUGUGAUUGGUUGUUAGAUGGAAGGAGCGUGUAAAAGCGUGUAAGUCUUUGUAUGUCUAGCAUUUUAGAUGAAAGUGGCCAACAACGACAAUUGAGCGAGCCAAAGUAGUGGUCUACGGGAAAUUAUUACGGAAGCGAAAUCGAUGUACACGCGACGUGGUAUGGCCGAUGCCGACACAGACUCUACACGGAGAGAUUGAUGUGGCUCUAAUUUACGAACCGAAACAGCUUCACGCACGGUACUUGUGCCCGACCUGUGCACGACAAGCAAAUCCAGUGGCUACUGCUGUUCUCAGUCAUAUGCAUUUCCGGUUGGAUUCCAGCGUCGUCUAUCUAUCAUGCAAAAUUUGUCGUGUGUGUAGCACCUCUCUUUACGAAAGGCCUGAUGGGCAUAGUCGUCUGAGUAUCGUGCACAAAGCAUCAGCUGUAUAGCAAUGCUCCGAACGCCGCUGCAGUGCACUGUAGCACGCCCUGGAUUACGACGACAGGCAGAGGAGGGAGAAGGGGGAUUGGAGGCUUUGAUAUCCGAAAGAGAAGAGCAGGAGGAUGAGGCAUAUAAUAUGUCAUGGGCUGGCCAGGGUAGAAACUGGAAAUAUGUCACAUGAUACAACUUUUGAAAAAAAAUCACAUCUCCUGAUGCCCAACUUGGCCUAAAACAGCACGACAUUUUGGGGGUCUGCUCGAAUAAUUGUCAAGUCUAACAUGGUAAAGAUGUCAAUUCAGCAAGACAUUCUUACGGUUCAUUUCAAGGUUGAUCAACUCAAAACUCGUAUAAAUACGUCUGCCAUUUUUGUCAACGAUAAAUGCUCUACAAAUCUAGGGGUUUCCCUAGUAGAUGGAACACUAGGACUAGUGCAGCUUCUUUCUGAAGAAAGCUGCAGUUACUGCCGUACUACCGUCCCUGAAGAGCGGUCAUGGUCAUGGCGUUCGUGUUCUCGAGAUUGCUUCUUUGGCUCUUCUCUCCCAUCAUUUUAAGGUACCCUGUCUGGUUCGGCGCCGGAAGAGACGCCGAUGCCACCACCGGCGCGCUUCCAUUCUCUAAGAUGGACACGACGGACGACAUUAGCGGCCUCCUGCUCGGGUCGUCCUCCACGCACAGGAGGCCGACGUGGAUGCAGAGCAUGGCCUCAUCCUGCGAACAGCUCUCUGCCAUGGAUGGAUCCACCAGCUUACCUGCCUUCCCUUCCCCCCACAGGCUCCAUGCCUACAUGAAGCAAUCAAAUCAACCAUCUGUGUAUGCCUAUUGUAAAGAUGAAUAUGGAUUUGAUCAUGACAGUGUGCUGCAAAAAGAAGUUAACUGCAAGUAUUUGGUUUGGUACUGUCAGUUUUUGUUCAGGUGCUUACAUAGACUGUCAGGCUAGGACACUCCAUGAUGCCGUCCAUUGCGCUUAUCCUGAUGCCGCUCACGAUCUCAAGCAGCAGCACGCCGAAGCUGUACACGUCAGAUCUGACGGAGAAGACGCCCUGCGUCGAGUACUCAGGAGCAAUGUAGCCACUGUCCACACAUUACUUUUUCAUCAGAAAAGUUUCCACAUGUUUGUUGAAUGUUGUACCAGCUUAAAACAAAAAUUUACUUGUUCAAAAAACUCAAAACAAGAAUAAUUUCUUUUUCUUGCAUGGUGUUCAGAAUUCAGAUAACUCACUAUGUUCCGACGACUUUCCGGGUGUUGGCUUUGACCUGGUUGUCGCCGAAGAUCUUGGCCAUGCCGAAGUCGGCCAUCUUGGGCCGCAUCUCGGCGUCCAGCAGCACGUUGCUGGCCUUGAGGUCCCGGUGUAUCACCGUCAGCCUCGAGUCCUGGUGCAGGUAGAGCAGCCCCCUAGCCACCCCCUUGAUGAUCCCCAGCCGCGUCGGCCAGCCCAGCACCGCUUUUCUCGCGCUGUCUGCAAUGAACACCAGCAAAUGCCACAUGAAACUUCAGCAAAAACAAUGCAGUAAUUUCCGUUGUGAUGUCUGAACAUUAUAUGUACCGAAGAGGAUGGCGUUGAGGCCCUUGUUGGGGAGGUACUCGUAGAUGAGCAGCUUCUCGGCCCCCUCGGUGCAGCAGACGAGCAAGCGGACCAGGUUCCGGUGCUGCAGCUUGGCUAUCAGAAUGGCCUCGUUCAUGAACUCCUCUGCUCCCUGAUCUGAGUCCUUGCUCAGUCUUUUCACAGCAAUCACAUGACCGCCUUCCAACGUUCCCUUCCCAAUGGUAAACAGAAACAAGUGCAGUGAGUGAGAUCGUGACUGAACAGAACAGGAAUUUUCUGCUAAACUGACACAACAGGAAAUUUCAGGUGACUGAAAUUUGGGACUGUCUAUGGGCUGUUUGGUUGCCGUCCUGAGAAACAAUUGACUGGCCACAAGCAAGCCGAACACUAGCCCGAACCUUCUUUGCUUGACACCCUGAGCCCUUUCUUCACUGGCUUGGCCUGUCAUGAGCGCACAGGCAAGCAAAAUAGGAGGCCUGAGCCAGGCACGUACAUACAAACAUAGUUUAAGACACCUUUUACAGUACAUCUAACUAUUUUGGUACGUUCAUUUUUGUGAUCCAACGGUGGAGAUAGGGCAAUACUACAUCCUAAUACGGGUAGUAUAUUCAGUGGUUCAUGCAUGUACUUUCCAUGCUGGUACCAAUUAAUGAGUGAUGUCAUUUUUUACUCUGAGGCUCAGGCGUGAACCAAACAACAUCUUAUCAUGGGGAGCAGUGCUAGGCAGCCGACGUUUUUCCAGCCGAUGUGUGCACGACAGUAGCUAAUCACCGUUAGAUAAAUAAAAAAUGUGAGAUCCUAGCAUCGUCCACGUGACGUACAUAAAACAUCGUGUAUGAAGCUAUUCCGUAUCAUGGGUGCCUUGUCAGCCAAAAGGGGUAGAAAUUUCAGGCUACUCUUAGGCACAUAUUUUAUCAGGCAUGACCUCUCAGGUCGCUAUCCAAACAGGCCUUAAAAAAUGCGGUCAGUCGACUUUUCCAGUCAUUGGAUGUGAAAUCAAGGGUCGGAUCAUCCUCUUCUACCUGCCGCUUUCAUCUUCCUUGGAACCACCCCUCCGCCGUCCGCGGCCAGCGGUGCUCUCAUGACCGCCUCUCUUCCCUGAACCGCCUCCCACCGCCAGUCUUGCCAUCUGUCCUGGCCAUCCCCUAUAAGCCCGACGACCAUCCAAAAAACUCCGGCGAAGCAGCACCCCACCUGCCACUCUAAGAUAGAUAGUGGGGGUGCUUCUCAGGCGAACCUGCACCCGCCACCCUAAGAUAGAUAGUGGGGGUGUUCUUCCCCAACGCCGGCGGCCUCACCAUGUCCUUCUUCAUCUCCGGCGCUUCCUUCUUCCUUCUCAAAAUCGACUGACCCAAAUCCAAAAACUAUCCAUUGACAUUUAGCUAUUGUGCUAAUUUUUCGCAAAGCUGAGUAGAAGUAGUACCUUGUAGACCUUGCCGAACCCUCCGCGUCCGAUCAUGUGUGUUUUGGAGAAGUUGUCCGUGGCGGCGACAAUGUCGGCGAACCGUAUGGACGGGAACUCAAGGUUUCCGGUGUCAUCUCCUCUGAUUUUGCUCAACGUGUCCGUGGUCUUAUUUUGGCUCUCGGUUUUUCUUCCCUUGACUGUCAAAUUGGUGUUGUGAGCAUUUUUUUUUGAAAGAAUGAUCGAGCAUGAGAUGUUCAUAGUUAAGAAAGAAAAAAAAAGGGGGGAAAACAUACAACUGUACCUCUGAAUCUCCAGAACCAUACAAAGAAAAUGCAUGUGAGCAGCAGGACGGCUGCUAACACCGGCAGGGCUAUCUUUACUGCAUGUCUACUGGACUUUCUACCUGUGUUCGGCAGGGCUAACACCGGCACUGGCAAAUUUGUUUUGUUUGAAUUCAGUAAAGAUUUCAACGGAUAAAAGUUCGGCAAAAGAAGCAUAUGUUUCUGUUGUACCUGUGGAGGCAGCAGCAACGGGCACGCGGAGGUAGAGCGUCUCGCCGCCCCAGCGCGGGCCAAUCAUCUGCGCGUCGACGAGCUCCCCUGCCCACACCACGCACUUGAUCAGUUCGUCCUUGGCGCUGCUGCUCUGCACGUUGGUGUACGCAUAUGCCACGCACGAGCAAGUUGCGGCGCACCUGGCCGCGCACUCCCCCGCGCUCCGGUUGUCGGAGUCGAUCGAGAACCUGUCCGGCACCUUCAUGCUCGGCAUCGCCACGAAACCUAUCCCGAUUCCGCCGCAUUGCGGCAACGCCUGCUUUCGCUGGCACCCCUGCUCGAACCUGCCGGCGCUCCAGUCCGCCGUGCUCGCCGGCUCGAAGCCGUCCAGGCACCUGCACGCCGCGGGCGCCGCUGUGACGUCGCAGUACCCGUACGCGCCGCAGCGACUGUAUGUGCUGCACCCGCUCGGCGGCCACGACUGGGCCGUGACCCAUGCCGACAAGGUGCCGUUCCAGUUGAGGAGUUGCAACCUGCCGGAGCUGGUCACCAAGUACCGCGUGGGCGCCGCGCCGUCGGAGACGGUUAACGCCAUGGAGAUCUCCUCGUCCGUGUCGACUAGCGCCGUGUAGAUUACCGUGCCGGCGUUGACGUACAGGCUGGUCACGGCGUACCCCUCCCAGAUGGGAGUGCGCCAGUAGGGGCGCGUCCCGUUCCACAUGAGCAGCUGCAGCGACGUGCUGGGAUCCAGGCCGUAGGAAAAGCGCCCCGGCGCAGGGUCGCCGGGGGAUUUCCAGGACACGAUGCGGUCGCCCUUGCCCGUCCGGUGGCUCAGCCGCAUCCUCAUCCCCGGAAUGAACGUGUCCGUCGGGUGGUCGAAGCUCUGCCACAACGCGGGGCCGUUCGCUUGCUGGACGACCAGGUUGCCCUCGUUCGUCAGCACGGCCGCUGCCGGCGCCUGUGGUGAUGAACUGCCCGCGAGGGUCGUGUUCCAGAGCACGCGGCCGUCGGCGUCGGACAUGACAAGGCGGGAGUCGUUGGCCAGGGCGAGCGUCGGGGCGCCGGCUGCCGGGGCUUCCCGGUUGACCACCCAGAUGACGGUGCGAGGCCCGGGGAUGCCGUUGUACCAUAUGCCAAGAUACCGCCUCGCCGGGCCAGCGGCGUCUUCUGGGGAGAAGAAGCCGAGAGCGAAGGCGCCGCCGUCGGACACGAGGGAUUGCCCGGCCAGGAGCUUCUCCCCCACGGCCAGCUGGUCCUUGGCGGACGCGCACAGGAGGAAGACGGCGACGACGAGGACGAGGACGGCAGAACGUGACCGGUCCAUCGACCAACUUCAAGGUGCGUGCAACGAGAUCAUCAGGAGACUUGAUUUUCUACUCCCGGGGCACCUACACAAAGCUAGCUAUUUACUCUCACUCCGUCUCAUAAUAUAAGAGUACUCCAUACGUCUUGAUACAUCCUUUUUAUUCAUUUUGAUGACAAGUAUUUUUGGACGAAGGGAAUAUAAUAUAAGAAAAACACUCUUAUAUUAGAGCAUCUCCAACAAACGCGCGAUAGCGCCGCGCGUUAAAAAAGUUUCACAACGUUGAAAUUGUGUUUUUGUGCGUGACAGGUUUACCAGACGCACAAAAACAUGGCGCACAACCCGACGGCCCCACCUACAGCAGCCCGCGAGCACAAGCCGGCACCUCAAAUUUGCAGCCCCACAGCCCUCGUGCGCUAAAUUUAUGGCUCUAUUUUUAUGUGUGUUUUAUUUUACAGCUUCAACACGUUGUUUCUCGCGCGUGCUAUAUAGACAUCUUUUUCAGCGCGCGGCUUGUAUAGCGCGAGAUGCUCUUAUAAGACAGAGAAAUUAGCUACGGCCUUGACGUUUCUCUUGGCGGUACGAACGUGAUCAUUCUUGUCCAAAAGGCGAUGUCGCCAUUGUAGCUAAUCCGACGGUGACGCUACUUUGCGAGUUCAUAUAUUGACUAAUUUCAGCAUGCACCGAGGUGAACUAGUCUUAGUCUGGUCUACUGUGUGUGCGCGUUUUACCUACGCGCUAGUGCAUAACUCGACCUACCUUGCGCAACAACGACAGUUUUUUUUAACACAUUAGAGCAUCUUCGACAGCCGCACUAAAAGACGCGCGCGCGGUAAACUAGCUUUUUAGCGCGCGGCCAGCGGUGGCAGCAAACUAGCGCGUGGGAAAACGAUUGCGCGCGUGCGGGAAAAGGCGGCAGCUCGCGCGCUAGAUUUGGCGCACCGUGUCCGGCGUGCCUAUAAAAUUGCAGCGCCCUCUGCCGCUCUCUCUCUCGCUCCCUCCACUGCUUUCUCUCCUCGCCGCCGACACGCCACCAUCGUGUCACCAUGCCGCCUCGCCGCCAGGGAGGUUCAGGGUACCGCAGCGUCCGCGUGCGUCCGUCUGGCACCUAUUCCGCCUCGAUUCAGUCGGGCGGCGGCGUGCGCCUCGGCCUCGGAACCUUCGACACCGCCCAGGAUGGCGUCCGCGCGUACGACGCUGCGGCGUGGCGCCUUCGGUGGUCCCGUUGGGACAUGAACUUCACCGACGUGGCGACACGGGAGCGGGCACAUGAGUUGGCACCUUUCCCGCGGCUUAACACUGACGAGGAUCGUCGCAAACACCGGAGGCGGAAGCGCCGUCUUAGCCUGGCCGAGAUGGACGAGGAAGCCAUGACACUGUGGAGGCAACGUUUCCCGCAAGACAUCAUCAACGAGGAACAGUUCUUCGCCGAGAGGAGGGAGGAGAGAAGGAAGGAGCGGGCCGCCUAUCGCGAGGACAAGCGAACGCGAAAGGCGGCCGCUAAAUAUAACAUGGCGCUAGGAGAUGCGUCAUCCUGGGACUCCCGCGACGAGCGGUUCCUUGACGCCUAUGCUCAGACGUCGGAGGAGGACAUCACCGAGGCAGAGUCCAAGUCGGAGAAUGACGAGUAGUAGUAGUUUUUCGUUUUAUUUUGUAUCAUAGAAGCAGGCUAUGUGGACGAAGUAGAACUAUCACUACUAGAGAAAAUCUUAUACACAGGAUCUUACCAGUAGCGAGUUUUAAAUUAAGGCACUGCUGCAAUGUAGCAGUAGCGCUCUCCUGCAGUACUCGCUGCUGAAAUAAACGUAGCAGUAGCGCGCCUCCUCUAAGCCGUGCUACUGCUAUAAUUCUCACGACCCCGCCGCGAAGCUAGUUCUAGCAGUAGGGUGUUAAUUCGGAGCGCGCUACUGCUAGGUAGUUUAGUAGUAGCGCCUUUACCUUUAGAGCGCUACUGCUAAAACUAGCUAUCUCCCACCACCCACGCUCUCCUCUAUCCGNNNNNNNNNNNNNNNNNNNNNNNNNNNNNNNNNNNNNNNNNNNNNNNNNNNNNNNNNNNNNNNNNNNNNNNNNNNNNNNNNNNNNNNNNNNNNNNNNNNNNNNNNNNNNNNNNNNNNNNNNNNNNNNNNNNNNNNNNNNNNNNNNNNNNNNNNNNNNNNNNNNNNNNNNNNNNNNNNNNNNNNNNNNNNNNNNNNNNNNNNNNNNNNNNNNNNNNNNNNNNNNNNNNNNNNNNNNNNNNNNNNNNNNNNNNNNNNNNNNNNNNNNNNNCUCCUCGCUGGACUCGGUACCGCCCUCCUCCUUCGUCCUCCCUCGACUCGCCGUCGGCCGGCCCCUCCUCGCUCCGCCCUUCCUCCUCCGUCCUACUCUCUCCUCCCUCCUCCAGUCGCCCCUCCUUCUCCCUCCUCCCUGCUAUAUUUUGAUUUAGUAGGCUAGUUCAUAUGCAACAUUAUGAUUUAGUUGAUUUAGUAGGCUAGUUGAUUUAGUUGAUUUAGAACAUUUUGAUUUAGUUGAUUUAGUAGGCAAGUUGAUUUAGUAGGCUAGUUGAUUUAGUUGAUUCAUAGAACAUUUUGAUUUAGUUGAUUUAGUAGGCUAGUUGAUUUAGUUGAUUUAUAGAAUAUUUUGAUUUAACAAUUAUUUUUCUUUCCUGUGAAGUGGAUCGUUAAUCCUUGCUCAUAUUGCUUUAGGAAAAUGGUGCCACCACUACCACCACCAUGUCCCUUGUGCAAGUCAAGGUGCGCCAGCAGUCUUGCAACUGGCAAGCUGUUCGGCAUCUACUUCUAGCCGAGUUUUCGUCAUGCAACGGUAAGAAAUUGUAUGAAAUGUAACAACUAUUUUAUUUUUAAUGUUGGCAUUACUUCAUUGUGUCAUAUUGCUUUUUUUUACACAGAUCGUCCCAUACAAUGUGAGGUUGAAAUUCAACAAGCUGACAGGAGACACUGUGACAUUUGAGGCUCCUUGGGGGGCCGUACACUAUGGAGGUCGAGAAAGGACACAAUAUGUCGUAGAUUAGAGGAGAUGGAUGGGCCCAUUUCCUCACCCGCAUGCGUCUUACUGGUGGUGAGUUGAUCAGCUUCUCCCUCAGAGCAGAAAGACCCAAGUUGGCUGUCAUUUAUAUCAACCUUGUGGAAGAUGAUGAAGAUGAUGAAGAUGACGAAGAUGAUGAAGAUAAUGAAGACCCACUCGAUGAAGAUGAUGAGGACCCACUUCAUGAAGCCAUGGUAGCUCAAAGAAUGAGUCUGAGCGAGGAGGAGGUGUGCAACCUAUGGGACAUAAUUCCACCACGUGCUGACUUUGUCGGGGUGCCAUUCGUGACCCGUCUGACAAGUACCAUGGUGGAUCGACAUGAUAUGGUAUCUUAUACUUACAAAUGCAAAUUAUCCGAUGAUAUGCUUAGUGUAGAGUUCAAUGAUAUGUUGUAUGGAAUCUAGUCGAUGAUAUGCUUUAGUGUAGAGUUCGAUCACAUGCUUAUUAGUAUAGAAUCUAAGGAACUAUUAAUAAUGUAGAUAAUCAAUUAUACCUAUUUGCAAGAGUAUGUGCGAGGCUUUUUAUUAAUUGAUAUGUUUUUCUUAUUUAGAAAUAGGCAAAUAGCCUAUCUGUGAGUUAUGGUAUCGAGCCUGAUGAAGAAGGCUCAGCUGGACUACGCCUUACCGCAAGGGGCUCCGUCACAACCUGUACUUACCGCGCGGACACGGACGGUCGCACACACUUAAACUCGGUUGGGUGGAAGAGAUUCAUUGAUGCCAAGAAUCUUCGUGUUGGACAGGCCAUCCUAAUUACUAUCAGGAACACCCACCGCAAAGGCUUGAGGAUGAUGAUCGUCUUUGAUAUCAUCUAGAACUACAUAUGUGUGUGUGGCUAUAUCAUCUAGAACUACAUAUGAUGAUCGUCGUCGAUAUCAUCUAGAACUACAUAUGAUGAUCGUUGUCGAUAUCAUCUAGAACUACAUAUGAUGAUCGUCGCCGAUAUGACCUUGUACUGCUUGAGGAUGCAUGUUGACUAUACAUGAAAUUAUUAUCCAGUACUCCCCCUUCGUUCCUAAUUACUCAUCGUGGUUUGAACUAAAACCACGACGAGUAAUUUGGAAUGGAGGGAGUACUACCUAAUAUCUAUAAUGCUUUAUGAAAUUGAUAUCUAGUAGUAGUAUCUGGAAAUUGCAGUUUAUUGAAACCGAAAUGGGGCAGGAAGCGGGGGAAAAUGAUGAAAGAUAUAUCAGUAGCGAGGGGCUAGGAAAUCACUAUAGCUAACUAAUAGUAGCGCAUUCCAAAAAAGCGAUGCUGAUAUAAUAAACAAUAGUAGCGCGAGUGCAGACGGCGCUACUACUAACAGUUAGUUGUAGCGCCGUAGUAGUAGCGCGGCUGCCCGCACUGCUGAUAGCCUCAAAACCUGCGCUACUACUAGGGUUUUCCCUAGUAGUGUAUAUAUAUCGUUGGAGAAGCCUAGAUGUACGCAUUUUGUAUCGUAGAAGCAGGCUAUGUGCAAACUAUCUCCAUAUUUGUGUGCUAUGUAUGCAAUCGUCAAGAAAAAAUGAAAUAUAGCGCGCCUGCUGGAGCGGCUCGGGCGCGCUUUAUUUUGCGGCGGACGCUGGAGCCAGCGCACCGCCGCGCGCAAAACCUGGCUCACCCGGCGCGAUAUUCUGAUUUUUAGCGCGCCUGUUGGAGAUGCUCUUACAAUCGCAAUUGCUCACGAAUAUGCACAUUGCACCCUAUUCGCAGAGAUUUUUUCUUCAGUGGGAUCAGAAAUAUGUAUUCGACGAAACGUAUUAUCUCGACAGUUGAUACGUCUCCAACGUAUCUACUUUUCCAAACACUUUUGCCCUUGUUUUGGACUCUAACUUGCAUGAUUUGAAUGAAACUAAACCGGACCGACGCUGUUUUCAGAAGAACUGCCAUGAUGUUGUUUUAUGUGUAGAAAAGAAAAGUUCUUGGAAUGUCCUGGAAAUCCACGGAGGCACUUUUCAGAAUUAAUAAGAACUUUUGGCGAAAGAAUCAAGGCCAGGGGGGCCACAGGCUGUCCACGACACAGGGGGGCGCCCCCCCCCUAGGGCGUGCCCUCCUAUCUCGUGGGCCCCCUGGACCUCCUCCGACCUCAACUUCAACUCCAUAUAUACCGUCUCGGGGAGAAAAAAAUCAGGGAAAAAGUUUCAUCGCAUUUUACGACACGGAGCCGCCGCCAAGCCCUAAUCUCUCUCAGGAAGGCUGAUCUGGAGUCCAUUCGGGGCUCCGGAGAGGGGGAUUCGUCAUCGUCAUCAUCAUCAACCAUCCUCCAUCACCAAUUUCAUGAUGCUCACCAUCGUGCGUGAUUAAUUCCAUCGUAGGCUUGCUGGAUGGUGAUGGGUUGGAUGAGAUUUACCAUGUAAUCAAGUUAGUUUUGUCAGGGUUUGAUCUCUAGUAUCCACUAUGUUCUGAGAUUGAUGUUGCUAUGACUUUGCUAUGCUUAAUGCUUGUCACUAGGGCCCGAGUGCCAUGAUUUCAGAUCUGAACCUAUUAUGUUUUCAUGAAUAUAUGUGUGUUCUUGAUCCUAUCUUGCAAGUCUAUAGUCACCUAUUAUGUGUUAUGAUCCGACAACCCCGAAGUGACAAUAAUCGGGAUAAUUGUCGGUGAUGACCGUAGUUUGAGGAGUUCAUGUAUUCACUAUGUGUUAAUGCUUUGGCCCGGUUCUCUAUUCAAAGGAGGCCUUAAUAUCCCUUAGUUUCCGUCAGGACCCCGCUGAACACGAGAGGGUAGGACAAAAGAUGUCAUGCAAGUUCUUUUUCAUAAGCACAUAUGACUAUUUAUGGAAUACAUGCCUACAUUACAUUGAUGAAUUGGAGCUAGUUCUAUAUCACCCUAUGUUAUAACUAUUGCAUGAGGAAUCGCAUCCGGCAUAAUUAUCCAUCACUGAUCCAUUGCCUACGGGCUUUUCACAUAUUGUUCUUCGCUUAUUUACUUUUCCGUUGCUACUGUUACAACUACUACAAAACCCCCAAAACAUAUAUUUUUACUUUUGCUACCGUUACUAUUAUUAUCAUACCACUUUUGCUACUAAACACUUUGCUGUAGGUACUAAGUUAUCCAGGUGUGGUUGAACUGACAACUCAACUGCUAAUACUCAAGAAUAUUCUUUGUCUCCCCUUGUGUCGAAUCAAUAAAUUUGGGUUGAAUACUCUACCCUCGAAAGCUGUUGCGAUCCCCUAUACUUGUGGGUUAUCAAGACUAAUUUCUGGCGCCGUUGCCGGGGAGCAUAGCUCUAUUCUCUGAGUCACUUGAGAUUUAUAUCUGUUGAUCACUAUGAAGAACUUGAAAGACGAUCGAACUACUAUUUUGCCCUCAACUACAAGGGAAGGUAAGGAACUGCCAUCUAGCCUUGCACUAGAUUCUCCUUCCGUUAUUAGUAAGCUUGCGACACCUAAACCUACUAUUGCUAUGAAUUCUGAUAUGUCGCGUGUCAUUGAUGAUGUCACUUCUGCUAUGCAUGAUGAAACUACUUCUGUGCGUGAUACUACUUUGCUAUUAGGUGAAUUUCUUGAUGAACAACUUGCUAGAGUUAGGGGGAAUGAAAUUACUGAAGAGCCUAUUACUGAUGAUAGUGAUGAUGAAGGUCCCCCUAAUGAUUAUGUUUACCUGUUGUUCCUAAGGGUUAUGUUAUGAAUGAAAAAGCUGCUAUGGAAAUUCUUGCUUGCAAUGAUUGAAAUGAUCUUAAGAAAUUAUUAGCUAAAUGGAAGCAGCAGUCUCUUAAUGCUAGAAUGAAACCCGAUCCUGAUUUUGCUACUUCACCUAUCUGUGUUACUGAUAAGGAUUAUGAAUUCUCUGUUGAUCUUGAUAUUGUUACUUUAGUUGAAUCUGAUCCUUUUUAUGUCCUUGAAUCUGAAAUUGUUGUGGCACAUCUUACCAAGUUGAAUGAUAUAGCCACCCUAUUUACUCAUGAUGAGAAGUCUCUCUAUUUAUAUAUCCUUCAGGUAUCUCCUUUCUCAUUAAAGGGUGAUGUUAAGACUUGGUAUAAUUCUCUUGCUCCUGGUUAUGUGCGUAGUCCCCAGGAUAUGAUUUAUUACUUCUGUGCUAAAUAUUUCCCUGCUCAUAAGAAACAAGCUGCCUUGCGGGAAAUAUAUAAUUUUGUGCAAAUCAAAGAAGAGAGUCUCCCACAAACUUGGGGGAGGCUUCUUCGGUUACUUAAUGCUUUGCCUGAUCAUCCUCUUAAGAAAAAUGAAAUACUUGAUAUCUUUUAUAAUGGACUAACCAAUGCUUCCAAGGACUACUUGGAUAGUUAUGUUGGUUGUGUUUUCCGGGAAAGAACAGUCGACGAAGCUGAAAUACUAUUGAAUAAUAUGUUGACUAAUGAAAAUAAUUGGACUCUUCCCGAGCCAGUUCCUGAACCAAUUGAGCCAACUCCUGAGCCUAUUCCUAAACCCACUCUGAAGAAGAGAGGUGUUUUAUUUCUCAGUCCUGAAGAUAUGCAGGAGGCAAAGAAAUCAAUGAAAGAAAAAGGUAUUAAAGCUGAAGAUGUUAAGAAUUUACCUCCUAUUGAAGAAAUACAUGGUAUGAAUAUAAUGCCUGAAGAACCACAUUGUCUUGAUAACCCGACACAGAUAGUGAAGGUAAAUUCUCUCUAUAGAUAUGAUAAAGUUCAAAUACCAUCUACUAAAUUUCAUAGCCCAUGCUUAGAUGAAUUUGAUGAGUUUAUGGCUAGACAAGAAAGUUUUAAUGCUUAUGUUGGUAGAGAGUUAAAGAAUAAUGCUUUCGAGAUAGGACGCGUAGGUGAUAAUCUGGCUAGAGUUAAAGAUGAACUUCACCGCGUUAGCAAAUAUGCUUCUAUGGUUGCUACUCAAGCUGAGCAAGUACUUAAAGCUCAAAAUGAUUUUCUUGAGGAAUUGAAUAAUAAAAAUGACUUUGCAGUUAGAGUGGCUACUAGAACUGGUAGAAUGACUCAGGAACUUUUGUAUCCUGAAGGCCACCCUAAGAGAAUAUGCAAGAUUCUCAGAGAAAUAAUUUAGAGGCACCUAGUUCUUGUAAGAAGAAGAAAAAGAAAGACGAUAGGACUUUGCAUGCUUCUAAUGAACCUACUGUAGACACACCUGAGAAUCCCAAUGAUAUUUCUAUUUCUGAUGCUGAAACACAAUCAGGUAAUGAACAUGAACCUAGUGAUAAUGUUAAUGAUAAUGUUCAUGUUGAUGCUCAACCUAGCAAAAACAAUGAUGUAGAGAUUGAACCUGUUGUUGAUCUUGAUAACCCACCAUCAAAGAAUCAACGUUAUGACAAGAGAGAUUUUGUUGCUAGGAAGCACGGUAAAGAAAGAGAACCAUGGGUUCAGAAACCCAUGCCCUUUCCUCCUAAACCAUCCAAGUCAAAGGAUGAUGAGGAUUUUGAGCGCUUUGCUGAAAUGAUUAGACCUAUUUUCUUAUGUAUGCGCUUAACUGAUAUGCUUAAGGUAAAUCCUUAUGCUAAAUAUAUGAAGGAUAUCAUCACAAAUAAAAGAAAGAUACCGGAAGCUGAAAUUUCCACCAUGCUUGCUAAUUACACUUUUAAGGGUGGAAUUCCAAAGAAACUUGGAGAUCCGGGUGUACCAACUAUACCAUGCUCUAUUAAAAGAAAUUAUGUUAGAACUGCUUUAUGUGAUCUUGGAGCCGGUGUUAGUGUUAUGCCUCUCUCUUUAUAUCGUAGACUUGAAUUGAAUAAGUUGACACCUACUGAAAUAUCUUUGCAAACGGCUGAUAAAUCAACUGCUAUACCUGUCGGUAUUUGUGAGGAUGUGCCUGUUGUGGUUGCAAAUGUCACUAUCUUAAUGGACAUUGUUAUUCUUGAUAUUCACGAGGACGAUAGUAUGUCUAUUAUCCUUGGUAGACCUUUUCUCAAUACUGCAGGGGCUGUUAUUAAUUGCAACAAAGGCAAUGUCACCUUUCAUGUUAAUGGUAAUGAGCAUACGGUACAUUUUCCGAGGAAACAAUCUCAAGUUCAUAGCAUCAAUUCUAUUGAAAAAGUUCCAACUAUCAUUUUUGGAGGUUUUGAAUUUCCUCUCCCUACUGUCAAGAAAAAGUAUGAUAUCCUUAUUGUUGGGGAUUUCUGUAUCCCUAUUGAGGUAACUUAGUGUUAUUUGAAAUUUCUCCAGUUCCGUGUUAUUCAGAAUGAGUUUGUUAACAAGACUUGAUCAACCUUAUUAGCGGGUUCAUUUUGAUGAUCACGAGAUGGAUGAAACUAGAAGGCACAACCUUCUAUACCCUCUUUUUACUUUCUGUUAUUUAGAAUAAAUAAAGCAAAAAUAGUAUUAUCUGUCUGUUUUCUGAAUUAUCCAUGCACUAAAAAAUAGUCCGAAAAUAAAAGUGCUCCAAAUGACCUCGUAUGAUUUUUUCUGGAAUAUUUGAGGAUUUUAGGCACUGAAAACACUGCAGGAUGGCCAAGCACCAGGCCACGAGAGAGGAGGGCGCCCCCCCCCCCUGUAGGGCGCGCCCCCUGUCUCGUGGGCCCCUGGUGGCUCCCCUCCACUUAUGCCAGCACCCACACACUUCAUCUUCUACCCAAAAAAAAUCCCCAUCCAGCUCAAGCACGAGUUCUAGCUCGUUUUGCUGCGAUUUUCGAUCUCCUAGCUCAAAGCUCCAUUCACAAAACUGCUUUGGGAGAUUGUUGCUUGGUAUGUGACUCCUCCAUUGGUCAAAUUAGUUUUUGUUCUAGUGCUUUAUUCAUUGCAAAUUUUUGCUGCAUAGAUGACCAUGUUCUUGAGCUUGCAUGUUUUUUUGAGGUCCCAAGCAAUUCCAAUGCAUGAUAUAGGCUCUAGGCACUUGUAGGAGUAGUUGCUAUCAAUCUUGUUUAGUUUUAUCCACUUUUAUUUUGAAGUUACUAAAAUUUUAGAAAUUUUCAGAAAAUGUUAAGGAGGUUCUUUAAAGGCUCUUCUAGCCAAAGCUCUAAGGAAAAACAAGACAGAGAGAAGGAAAAACCCAAGUAUAAUCUCCCUCACUUAGCGGAAGUACGGUCAUGUGAAUGGCCAUGUGAGGAUUUCUUGAAGGAAGCCGGAAUUCAUGAAGACUUUUAUGCUUUAAUCAGGACUGCAGGCCUCACCGAUUUCAUGAAUGACCGAAUCAAUCAGUAUCUCUUACUUACCAAUACUUUCGUGCAAAACUUUUAUUAUUAUCCUAAGAAGUCACCGCCUGCAGUAUCAUUUCAUUUAUAUGAUGAAUUCAAAGAAAUGUAUUUACGUCAUUUUUGCGCGGUAUGUAGGAUACCUUAUGAGGGAGAAUUAGAGGAACCCCAUCAUGAAGAUGUGGAUGGCUUCGUUAAAACUAUUGUUGUAGAAGAGCCAAAGAAGGGCUCUGAGGCAAAAGUCUCUAGCAUACACUUUCCUGUUUUACGCUACUUUGCCAUAUUUGCUAGUAGAUGCUUGAUUGGUCGUGGGAAUAGUGGAAAUUUGAGCGUUCCAGAUAUUAUUAUUCUUCAACAUGCUUUGCUGGGAGACAAUACUUUUAGUAUGGGUGCCGUCAUUGCUAAACGGCUAGCCCUGAAUCAUAGAAAAGGCCCCAUAUUUGGAGGUAUCUAUGUUACAUGUCUUGCUGAACAUUUUCAGAUACCCAUUAGGCACCUUGAGGAGGAGGAGACAAAAUUACCUCCUCACAUUUUAGAUUACAAGAGCAUGGUAGCACACAAGUUUAUCGUUGACAACGAAGAAAAGAUGCUCCUGUGUAGACUUAGAUUCAAUAAGAAACACUUUGAGUUCAUUAUUUUGCCUGCACCUCUGUUAUUUGAUUUGCUUGCAGAAAAUCGUCUUGUCACGCCGGAGGCGGUGAACAACCAUCUAGCCCAAGCUUUUACUCCGGAACCUGAACCGGAACCUGAGCUGGACCCUUAUCGUGCACCAUCUGUCCAGUGGGAUCCGGAGAUGACCAGCCAGUGGUAUCCUGAUUACACCUCCCACUACACCGGGGAGAGUAGCGGCGGUCCUUGGUAUUAGACCAACUUAGGCCAAAAGCCUAAGCUUGGGGGAGUACGUAUUUCUCACCGACUUUACAUUCAUGUUCAUACACUAGUCGUCGGUGCUCAUACUCUUUCUUUGUAUUAUCCAUGUUAGUUUAAAUUUCUUUUUCUAGCGUUCUUCUUAUGUGUUUGUUAAACCUUAAGAAAAAACCAAAAACAUUAGUUAGUUUAAUUUCCCUGCUUGUAGUAGAAAUUAAAAUGAAAACCCAAAAAGAUUUCUCGUUCUUCUUUUACUUGUUGGGACCUUUCCCGUGUAAAUAGUUUUAUUUUCUUUUCUUUCUUUUGGGGGUCGAGAAGACCAUAUUGAAAAUGUUUAGUGGCUCUUAUAUGCAUGUUUGAUUAUUUAACUUAGAGCCCAUAUUACCUUGUCUUCUCUCUUGAGUUGAAUGCUUGCAGAUCCCAGCUUAGUCCAAUGCACAUGCACUCUUAUUAUUAUACACAUCGUUCGGUCAUGCAAGUGAAAGGCAAUAAUGACGAUAUAUGAUGGACUUAUUGGGAUGAGAAAAGCUGGUAUGAACUCGACCUCUCUUGUUUUUGUAAAUAUGAUGAGUUCAUCGUUCCCGAGUUAGCUAUUAUGAAGUAAACAUAUUUGCAAUGACAUUUAGAGAUUAUAGUUGCUUGUGCCAUGCUUGAUUAGCUAUGAGUUAUAAUGGUUUACCUUGCAUGCCAACAUGCUAUUAGAAUGAUUAUGAUGUGGUAUGAUGGGAUGGUAUCCUCCUUUGAAUGUAUUAAGUGACUCGACUUGGCACAUGUUCAUGCAUGUAGUUGAAUCAAAUCAACAUAGCCUUCAUGAUAUUUAUGUUCAUGGUGGAUUAUAUCCUACUCAUGCUUGUAUUCGGUGUGAAUUAAUUUUAAUGCAUGCUUACGACCGUUGUCGCUCUCUCAGUUGGUCGCUUCCCAGUCUUUUGCUAGCCUUCACCUGUACUAAGUGGGAAUACUACUUGUGCAUCCAAACUCCUUAAACCCCAAAGUUGUUCCAUAUGAGUCCACCAUACCUUCCUAUAUGCGAUAUUUACCUGCCGUUCCAAGUAAAUUUGUAUGUGCAAAACUCCAAACCUUCAAAUGAAAUUCUGUUUUGUAUGCUCGAGCAGCUCAUGUUUCAACUAGGGCUGCCUAUAUCUUCCAUGCUAGGUGCGUUAUUCUCAAGAGGAGUGGACUCCACUCCUCAUUCACGAGAAAGGUCCGGUAACCGGGAUGCCCAGUCCCAUGAUCCAAAAAGAUCAAAGCAAAUCAAAAUAAUUAAACAAAACUCCCCCAGGGCUGUUGUAUGUUGGAGGCACUCGUUGUUUCGAGCAAGCCAUGGAUUGAUGCUUGUUGGUGGUUGGGGGAGUAUAAACCUUACCAUUCUGUUUGGGAACUGCCUAUAAUGCAUGUAGUAUGGAAGAUACAGUCAUCUCAUAGUUGUUGCGUUGACAGUGAAAGUAUGCUGCUCAAAAUGUUAUCCAAUCUCUAUUUCAAAAUCAAGCUCUGGCACCUCUACAAAUCCCUGCUUCCCUCUGCAAAGGGCCUAUCUAUUUACUUUUAUGUUGAGUCAUCACCCUUCUUAUUAAAAAGCACCCGCUGGAGAGCACACUGUCAUUUGCAUUCAUUAUUAUUGGUUUAUAUUGGGUAUGACUUGAUUAGAUCUCUUUUACCAUGAAUUACAAUGUUUAGUCAGUCCUUGAUCUUUAAAGGUGCUCUGCAUUUAUGUUUUGCGGUCUCAGAAAGGGCUAGCGAGAUACCAUUUUGUUAUAUCAUGUUAUGAUUAUUUUGAGAAAGUGUUGUCAUCAGAGUUUUAUUACUAUGGCUCGCUAGCUGAUUAUGUUAUUGAUAUGAGUAAUUGUGAGACCUAUGUGUUAUUAUGAGUAUGCUUAGUUUAUAAUAUUUGCUGAAACUUGAAUGCUGGCUUUUCAUGUUACAACAACAAGAGUAAACAGAGUUUGUAAAAGUUUUUCUUUUUCACUUUCAGUUUAUCAACUGAAUUCCUUGAGGACAAGCAAAGGUUUAAGCUUGGGGGAGUUGAUACGUCUCCAAUGUAUCUACUUUUCCAAACACUUUUGCCCUUGUUUUGGACUCUAACUUGCAUGAUUUGAAUGAAACUAACCCGGACUGACGCUGUUUUCAGCAGAACUGCCAUGAUGUUGUUUUAUGUGUAGAAAAGAAAAGUUCUCGGAAUGUCCUGGAAAUCCAUGGAGGCACUUUUCAGAAUUAAUAAGAAUUUUUGGCGAAAGAAUCAAGGCUAGGGGGCCCACGGGCUGUCCACGAGACAGCGGGGCGCCCCCCCCCCUUAGGGCGCGCCCUCCUAUCUCGUGGGCCCCCUGGACCUCCUCUGACCUCAACUCCAACUCCAUAUAUACCGUCUCGGGGAGAAAGAAAUCAGGGAGAAAGUUCCAUCGCGUUUUACGACACGGAGCCGCCGCCAAGCCCUAAUCUCUCUCGGGAGGGCUGAUCUGGAGUCCGUUCGGGGCUCCGGAGAGGGGGAUUCGUCGCCGUCGUCAUCAUCAACCAUUCUCCAUCACCAAUUUCAUGAUGCUCACCGCCGUGCGUGGGUAAUUCAAUCGUAGGCUUGCUGGACGGUGAUGGGUUGGAUGAGAUUUACCAUGUAAUCAAGUUAGUUUUGUUAUGGUUUGAUCCCUAAUAUCCACUAUGUUCUGAGAUUGAUGUUGCUAUGACUUUGCUAUGCUUAAUGCUUGUCACUAGGGCCCGAGUGCUAUGAUUUCAGAUCUGAACCUAUUAUGUUUUCAUGAAUAUAUGUGUGUUCUUGAUCCUAUCUUGCAAGUCUAUAGUCACCGAUUAUGUGUUAUGAUCCGACAACCCCGAAGUGACAAUAAUCGGGAUACUUCUCGGUGAUGACCGUAGUUUGAGGAGUUCAUGUAUUCACUAUGUGUUAAUGCUUUGGUCCGGUUCUCUAUUAAAAGGAGGCCUUAAUAUCUCUUAGUUUCCGUAAGGACCCCACUGAAUACGGGAGGGUAGGACAAAAGAUGUCAUGCAAGUUCUUUUCCAUAAGCACGCAUGACUAUUUACGGAAUACAUGCCUACAUUACAUUGAUGAAUUGGAGCUAGUUCUAUAUCACCUUAUGUUAUAACUAUUGCAUGAGGAAUCGCAUCCGGCAUAAUUAUCCAUCACUGAUCCAUUGCCUACGAGCUUUUCACAUAUUGUUCUUCGCUUAUUUACUUUUCCGUUGCUACUGUUACAACUACUACAGAAACCCAAAAACAUCUAUUUUUACUUUUGCUACCGUUACUAUUAUUAUCAUACCUCUUUUGCUACUAAACACUUUGCUGCAUAUACUAAGUUAUCCAGGUGUGGUUGAAUUGACAACUCAACUGCUAAUACUCAAGAAUAUUCUUUGUCUCCCCUUGUGUCGAAUCAAUAAAUUUGGGUUGAAUACUCUACCCUCAAAAACUGUUGCGAUCCCCUAUACUUGUGGGUUAUCAACAAUCAGCCAAGAAGCCACUGAACAGAAAGCUAAACAAAAAGAGAUCUAUGGGCACUAGCACCCAUGACAUACUCUUUAUAGAAUAAGUUCACCCAGGUGAGAUGAGAUCACGGAAAUUCGCUCCGACGGGAGUGGAACCUGCAAGGUAGCACCAAUGUGCCCUCGCCACUAAACAGAAAUCGGUUCGAUCAGCCAACUCUCGGUCACAUUCAAUUAUGCAAGAAACUUGACACGAUGAUGAGUUGGAACUGGACCGCGACAAGUUUACACCCACACUGUAAUUAAUAAACAAGAUAAUACCCCACGCGUUUCCGUGGGAAUUGGUCGAUAAUUUUUUGGGUUGAUAAUAUGAGGAUGAAAAUUAAAAAUACAUAUGACUUAAUAUAUUUCGUCAUGCAUAGUUGUAAAAUAUUUAUUGAAUAGAUGUACAAUAAUUGAACGGAAAACAUUUCACCUUACAUGGUUCAGUAUUGUGUUGUGGUGGAUCUUUUCCCAUGCAUAGUUUUCCAUGCAUUUUUUUAAAUGUAGCAUACAUUUUUCUGAAUGUAUGAUUUUUUAAAAAUUAGCCAAACAUUUUUUAGCAUUGUAUAAACAGUUUUCUUAGAUGUCGCGUAUAUUAUUUUUAAAUGCGUGACAUUUUUGUAAUGUAAAAACAAAUAAUUCAUAGGGACGAUCAACAUUCUUUAUACACGUUUAACAUCUUUAAAUUCAUGAUUAACAUUUUUUAAAUUUUACGUAAAGUGUUUUUGGUAUAAUAUAUUUACACUAUUUCAAAAUAUAAAGCAAAAAACAAAAAUAUAAAUGUGAAGAAAAACUUGGGUGGCGGCAACAUGACACGACCAUGUGGCCACUGGGCCGGCCCAACAAUGGCUUCAGCAUGGGACCUUGUGCUAGAGUCGCUACGGGCGGCACACAGACGCGCCGGUACCUCAGGGUCUUCUAUUUUUUUGAGGAAAGACCAUCAUGACUAGCUUUAUUAUGAUCAAAUAGUAGAUACAUCGUCUACGAGCUUGCUAACCAGAAUGUCAAGUGGCUCGUGCAACCAAAAAGAAGAGAUCUUAUUACAAUUUACAAUUACUAUGAUUCGCUAGCACAUAAGCUGCUUGAUUAACAGACCGAUAACAAUGUUUAUAAACGACCUUUCCUAUAGCUGUAGUAUCCACACACUCCGCAAAGAUUACCGUCGCUGCAUCCCACCAUCUGGAUUGUCCAGUACAAAAGUUGAUCACCUGCAUAGGAUCAGACUCCGCCUCAAGGCGAUUGUACCCGAGAGAAUUAGCUAGCAAGUCCAUCUGUCAUGGUCAUCGCGUCGGUUGUGACUACGUCAGCUGCAAAAGGGACAAACCUGCAUUUGGCAGCAAUAAAAUUACCACAUGCAUCUCUUAGAAUAGCUGAGAUCGCUCCCAUUCCCUCUUCCUCAUAGAACGCUGCGUCCAUAUUAAUUUUCACAAAUUUUGGAUCAGGUUUACUCCAUUUUCUAUCUUGUGUUCCACUUGGCUUAGAGAAGGCUUUGUGAUAAUUGCUUGCAAUCGCUAACACUGAUAUGGGCCAACAGAUAAUCAGAGAGACUGUCCCAUUAUGCGUAAUGCGUCGCCUGAUCCACUAUAAAUACCAGCAAGCCACUGCCACAACCUGCUUAAAAUUCAGAGUUGGUUCGAGCACCAUUAGGAUAUCCGACAAGUUCAGCAAAAACUCCAAAACCGCGGACCCUGAUCUGUCCACUACUGUUGUCUGGUUAAUUACUUCAGUUAGCCGCAAGUGCUGCCACAUCUCCUUUGCAUGGGUGCAUGUGAAUAGCAAAUGAUGUAGGUCUUCUGCUCCGUGAUGGCAGAUCGGAGAGGCUCCAUCACUACCAAUAUGUAUGUUCAUUAGUAUGGAUUUCAUGUGAAUAGCAAAUGAUGUACUCCCUCCGUUCCGAAUUACUUGUUGCAGGUAUGGAUGUAUCUAGAUGUAAUUUAGUUCUAGAUACAUCCAUUUUUGCGACGAGUAAUUUGGAACGGAGGGAGUAUGUCUGUUCAUUAGUACCUCAGGGUCUUGAUUGGUCCGAGACACCUGUCAGUUGAGACCAUUCGGAUCACUCUAACCACAUACCCUCCAGGGCUGGCCCUGUGUUUCGGGAGGCCCUAGGCGAACUCGAGGACAUGGGCCCGUCCUAAGACCAUAUAUAUGUACACUUCUGCUUCGAUACACCCCCUUCAACACAACAACGGCUGAGAUUCUCCCAUACCACUUCGCUGCCAGGGGCACGAUUGUCUUAUGUAAAAAAAUUACCCCCGCGCGUCCACGCCGAUACCCCCGCGCGCCUGUGAAUACGCGGCUGCGGGACGAGCCGAGCCGCUUGGCAGCCGUGAGGACGCGAGCCGAGCCGAGUAGUUAGCAUCCAUGGGCCCAGGAUGUCAAAUGCAGGGCGUGCUUUUUUUUUUAAAGUCGGGGUUGACCGGUGGGGCGUACGUGUGGACGUGGAGCGGACGGCCGUCUCGUCGUGCAAUUAACUGCUUUGCAGUAAUGGCGGCAUGCAUGCAGGCGCCGACUGCUCGUGGCUGAUCUCGUGCCGCCUGCCUGGUAGCCUCGUAGUCCGCGCCCUCCACUGCCGCGCGUGCGGCGACCGGGCGCCUGCCGCCAGCCUUCCGCCUCGGGCCGACAGUUGACGCGACCGGUCGGCCGCUGCCGCUGCGGCGACCGCCCGCCCGUCUUCAGACGCCACCGACGCUUCNNNNNNNNNNNNNNNNNNNNNNNNNNNNNNNNNNNNNNNNNNNNNNNNNNNNNNNNNNNNNNNNNNNNNNNNNNNNNNNNNNNNNNNNNNNNNNNNNNNNNNNNNNNNNNNNNNNNNNNNNNNNNNNNNNNNNNNNNNNNNNNNNNNNNNNNNNNNNNNNNNNNNNNNNNNNNNNNNNNNNNNNNNNNNNNNNNNNNNNNNNNNNNNNNNNNNNNNNNNNNNNNNNNNNNNNNNNNNNNNNNNNNNNNNNNNNNNNNNNNNNNNNNNNNNNNNNNNNNNNNNNNNNNNNNNNNNNNNNNNNNNNNNNNNNNNNNNNNNNNNNNNNNNNNNNNNNNNNNNNNNNNNNNNNNNNNNNNNNNNNNNNNNNNNNNNNNNNNNNNNNNNNNNNNNNNNNNNNNNNNNNNNNNNNNNNNNNNNNNNNNNNNNNNNNNNNNNNNNNNNNNNNNNNNNNNNNNNNNNNNNNNNNNNNNNNNNNNNNNNNNNNNNNNNNNNNNNNNNNNNNNNNNNNNNNNNNNNNNNNNNCCACCGACGCCUUGCCUGCCGCGCCGUGCAUUCACACGCCGCCGCUGCCUCGCUUUCACACGCCACCGCUGUCGCGCGUGCCGCCAGCCGCCCGCCUCUCCCUCGGGGCGCGCGCCACCGACGGCUCGCCCGCCCACCUCCCUCCCCCGCCGUCUAUAAAAGGCAGCGCCAGCCCUCACCACGCCGUGCCAUCUCCCUCGCCCCGCCCAUCUCUCUUCCUCUCCUCGCCCGCCCAUCUCCCUCUCCUCGCUGGCAAUGUCUUCCAGCGACUCCAACGAGGGCGCGUGGCCGAGCGGCGUCUGGCCGUUGAGCCUCACCAUCAGCGACACGAAGGUUAUGGCCCGGUAGGGCGUGAUGGUGCCGCCGGCAGCCAAGGUGCCGGGGCCAUGGAGGAUCGGGGCGGACGGCAUCCCCACCAUGGGACCGCCGCCGGCAAGGGAGCAGCUCCACGCGUUCCCUGGCGGCCGGUACAACCGGAGGGCCCGACGCAGGUUCUGGCACGGGAAGAACUUCGACAUCGUCCUCGGCGCGUUCAGGGACGCGGCGGCCGGCCGCACCGUCGGGGACAUUACCGGCGAGUUUGGCCCUUCCCGUGGUCGCCGCUGCCAUGGCCCACCUCCAGCCGCCCCCACUACCCCGGCGCUGGUCGACAUCCCGCCGGCACAGGCCGCCCUCGCGCAAGAUGGAGACCCCGACGACACGCCGGGGCUACUUGCGGUGCUGGCCCGGUCGGCAGAGGAGGCGGCGAUGGCGGCCACUCGUGAGGAACGAGAGCGGCUGGCGGCCAUAGCGGCGGUGCAGGAGCAGCAGGCGCGGGAAGACAACUAGUGGGAUCUCAGCGACGACGACGACGACGAUGGUGGCGACGAUGGCGGCGACGACGGCGAAGGAGAGGCCGGCGGUAUGGCGCCGGUCGUCGACCUCACCGGCGCCAGCGACGACGAGUAGUCUAGUUUUAGGGUUUUUUAUUUAAAUUCCGGUCUAAGUUAUGUAAAGAGCAGUGCUCGGUUAUGUUUAGGGUUAUGCAAAUAUUUUGAAUUAUGAAUGAACUCCGAAUGGUUUAUCUGGAAAAAAAAAUCCGUAUGUUUAAUUUGAUGUUAGUCAUGCAACUUCAAAAAAUAAACUAAAACAUGAAUUUCAACGUUACGAGACUAUAAUCGACACACAAAUUGUAGAAAAAUCAGUCGCAAAACGCAUGCAUGGGGCCUUCCCUCAUACCCGAACGGUCUCCGGAGAACUUGUUAUGCAUGCACACUAAAAACAUAUUGCGUCACGUCCGGGGUGUGGUAUGUGGUGUUUUCACCUAAAAAUUAUAAAAAAAAUUUAGAGCGAUAAAAAAGCCAGAAAACUUUUCAUGCAUCCUACUGAUAAUAGUGGAACACUAUAAAAAAAUGUGGGUACAUUUGAAGGCUGUCGGAAAAAAACUCCUUUCGGACAGGGCCUUCGGUCCUGCCUGAACGGUCUCCGGAGAAGGAGGCCAAUUUUUUGACAUAUUCAGAAUGACCUCAACUUUUGCAAAUGAGUUGGUAUGCCCACCCCCACAGUCAAUACAAGAAUUGAACGUAUCUGGACAUGAAAAACAUGUUGCGUCACGUCCGGGGGUGUGGUAUGUGGUGUUUUCACCGAAAAAAUUAUAGAAAAUUCAUAAAGUAAAAAAAAAGCCAGAAAACUUGUCAUGCAUCCUAGUGAUGAUGGUGGAACAGUAUGGAAAAAUUUUGAGUUCAUUUCAAGGAUGUCGAAAAAAAAUUGAGUUGGUAUGGUCACCCUGACAUUCAAUUUGAACGUAUUUGAACACCAAAACCAUGUUGUGUCACGUCCGGGGUGUGCUAUGUGAUGUUUUGACCAAAAAAUUAUAUAACAUUCAUAAAGCGAUAAAAAAUAUUUAAAACUUGGCAUGUAUCCUAGUGAUGAUGGUGGAACACUAUAAAAAAAUAUAGAAGGCAAAAAAAUAGUGAUGCAACAAAAAAGCCCACCUGUACUUGCAUGCCGCAACUGCGCUUAAUCGGUCCGGCCCGAUCAAGCCGGGUGGCGAAAGGGCCGGCCUUUCGGCCCAGCUACGGCCUGCAGCACAGGCCAACGGGGCAGUGGCGGGACGCGGCGGGAAUCAGAGGAGUUCGAAACGCUGGUGGGAGGUUGGUAUAUAAGGCGGUCGCGGCACGUUCGGCGGGCGAGGUGGGACUAAACUUUAGUCCUCACCCCCGCCAACCCUGCCCCCGCACCGCGCGCAUACUCAAUGGGCCGGCCCACGCGCGCCGUCGCGCACAGUCACUGGGCCGUCGUGCACAGUCAAGACUUUUGUUUUAAAAAAAUAGUAUUAAGUUUUUUAAUUAUUUAUGCCUUUCGUUAUCGUAUAAAAAAAUUCUAUAAUUAAUAAAAAUCCAUACGUAAUAUAGAAUUGUUAACUAUAUUUAUUAUAACAAUAAUGAGUUGUUUAUUACAAUUUAUAGGAAAAAAUAAUGAGUUUUUUAUAAUUAAUUGCUAAAACAAUAAUGAGUUUUCUGAUAAUUAAUUGAUAAUGAGUUUUUUUGUAAUGAAUAUUUUAAUCAGUUAUUUGUGUAGAUUAGUAAUUACAUUUUUAAUAUUUAUGUAAUGUUAAUUAAUGUCUAAAAAAUACUUAAAAUAUAUGCAAAGUUUAGUACUGUAAUGUGUUGCAUUAAUGGCUAAUUGUGUUUACAUAAUAAUAAUGCGUUGUUUUUUUAUAAUUUAUAAGUAAGAAUAAUGAGUUUUUUAUUACAAUUUAUAGGUAAAAAUAAUGAGUUUAUGUUUUAAUUUUUUAUGAGUUUUGUGUUAAUGCCUAACAUUUUUCAGCUUAUUAAAAAAUAUUAAUGAGUUUAUUGGUAUAACUAAUAAUUUGGAAACGACCAUUCAUAAAAAACACUACUUCACAUAGAAUUUUUUAAGUAGUUAAAAUAAAAACACUACUUAAUACAUAAUUUAUUAAGUAAUUGUAUUAAAAAGAGUACUUAAUACAGAAUUUAUUUCAUAUUGACAUUAAACAUAUGAAAACUUUACUAUUGUUAUUUCUGCGCGAAUUGUCGAGCUGAUAUUACAAAAUAAGAUAGUAAUAAUGUCAGUUGACUUUAGUUAAAGUCAUAUGACAUUAUUACUACCUUAUCUAAUAAAUAGCUCAAAGGCGGCUAUAUAAGGCAGUCCUGGCGUCCCUCGCGCGCGAUGUGGGACUAAAAAAGCGCCCCUUCCACCUCCCCCCGCGUCGUGAAUCGUAGAAGCAAAAAAAUAGUGAUGAAAAAAAAUAAGCCCACAUGUGCUUGCAUCCCGCAACUGCGUUUAAUCGGUCCGGCCCGAUCAAGCCGGGUGGCGAAAGGGCCGGCCUUUCGGCCCAUCUACGGCUGGCAGCACAGGCCAACGGGGCAGCGGCGGGAUGGGGCGGGAAUCAGAGGAGUUCGUAAAGGGUGGUGGGAGGUUGGUAUAUAAGGCGGUCGCGGCGUCGUUCGGCGGGCGAGGUGAGACUAAACUUUAGUCCUCACCCCUGCCGACCCUGCCCCCGCACCGCACGCACAUUCAAUGGGCCGGCCCACGCGCGCCGUCGCGCACAAUCACUGGGCCGGCCAUCGCGCGCUGUCGAAGAUUAUUUUUGUUAUUUAUUUAUUGUUAAAAAAAUAAUAUUAAGUUUUUAAAUAAAUGUUCUAUAAUUAAUGAAAAGCCCUAAGUACUGUAUAAAUGUUCUAUAAUUUAUGUAAUGUUCAUUAUUUAUUUGUUAUUUGUUUUGCAUUAAUGGCUACAAUUGUUUUCAUAAUAGUAAAGUGUUUUUUGGUAUAAUUUAUAAGUAAUAAUAAUUUGGAAAAUACUCUUCUGAAAAAACACUAAUUGAUAUGGAAUUUAUUAAGCAGUUAUGUUAAAAACAAUACUUAAUAUAGAAUUUAUUAUGUAAUUAUAUUAAAAAAAAUUACUUAAGAUAGAACUAGUUAAUAUAGAAAACGUCACCCCAAUUUUGGGAUGCAGUGGGCAUGCCAAUGUUAGGGCCACACGCAAAAGUUGAACGAAUUCGGACACGAAACGCACGUUGCGUCACGCCCGGUCAGUGUUUUCGGUGCGUUUCACGGAGAAAACCAUAGGAAAUUCAUACGGUGCCGGAAAAUUAUGAAAACUUGCAUGCAUGAUGGCCCUGGCGAUGAGUGCGUGUGGAAAAAGUUUGGGGUCCACAUGCUGAGUCAUAAAAGAGAACGCAGUACGGGGCUGACAUCCUUCAUAUCCGAUCAGUGCCGGUUGCAUAGAUGGUACGAGGUGGCAUACACAAAACGUNNNNNNNNNNNNNNNNNNNNNNNNNNNNNNNNNNNNNNNNNNNNNNNNNNNNNNNNNNNNNNNNNNNNNNNNNNNNNNNNNNNNNNNNNNNNNNNNNNNNNNNNNNNNNNNNNNNNNNNNNNNNNNNNNNNNNNNNNNNNNNNNNNNNNNNNNNNNNNNNNNNNNNNNNNNNNNNNNNNNNNNNNNNNNNNNNNNNNNNNNNNNNNNNNNNNNNNNNNNNNNNNNNNNNNNNNNNNNNNNNNNNNNNNNNNNNNNNNNNNNNNNNNNNNNNNNNNNNNNNNNNNNNNNNNNNNNNNNNNNNNNNNNNNNNNNNNNNNNNNNNNNNNNNNNNNNNNNNNNNNNNNNNNNNNNNNNNNNNNNNNNNNNNNNNNNNNNNNNNNNNNNNNNNNNNNNNNNNNNNNNNNNNNNNNNNNNNNNNNNNNNNNNNNNNNNNNNNNNNNNNNNNNNNNNNNNNNNNNNNNNNNNNNNNNNNNNNNNNNNNNNNNNNNNNNNNNNNNNNNNNNNNNNNNNNNNNNNNNNNNNNNNNNNNNNNNNNNNNNNNNNNNNNNNNNNNNNNNNNNNNNNNNNNNNNNNNNNNNNNNNNNNNNNNNNNNNNNNNNNNNNNNNNNNNNNNNNNNNNNNNNNNNNNNNNNNNNNNNNNNNNNNNNNNNNNNNNNNNNNNNNNNNNNNNNNNNNNNNNNNNNNNNNNNNNNNNNNNNNNNNNNNNNNNNNNNNNNNNNNNNNNNNNNNNNNNNNNNNNNNNNNNNNNNNNNNNNNNNNNNNNNNNNNNNNNNNNNNNNNNNNNNNNNNNNNNNNNNNNNNNNNNNNNNNNNNNNNNNNNNNNNNNNNNNNNNNNNNNNNNNNNNNNNNNNNNNNNNNNNNNNNNNNNNNNNNNNNNNNNNNNNNNNNNNNNNNNNNNNNNNNNNNNNNNNNNNNNNNNNNNNNNNNNNNNNNNNNNNNNNNNNNNNNNNNNNNNNNNNNNNNNNNNNNNNNNNNNNNNNNNNNNNNNNNNNNNNNNNNNNNNNNNNNNNNNNNNNNNNNNNNNNNNNNNNNNNNNNNNNNNNNNNNNNNNNNNNNNNNNNNNNNNNNNNNNNNNNNNNNNNNNNNNNNNNNNNNNNNNNNNNNNNNNNNNNNNNNNNNNNNNNNNNNNNNNNNNNNNNNNNNNNNNNNNNNNNNNNNNNNNNNNNNNNNNNNNNNNNNNNNNNNNNNNNNNNNNNNNNNNNNNNNNNNNNNNNNNNNNNNNNNNNNNNNNNGCAGUACGGGGCUGUCAUCGUUCAUAUCCGAUCAGUGCCGGUUGCAUGGGUGGUACGAGGUGUCAUGCACGAAACGUCACCCAAUUUGGAGAGGUAGUGGGCAUGCCCAUCUUAGGGCCCCACGGAAGAUUUGAACGAAUUCGGACACCAAACGCACGUUGCGUCACGCCCGGUCAGUGUUUUCGGUGCGUUUCACGAAGAAAACCAUAGGAAAUUCAUACGGUGGCGGAAAAUUAUGAAAACUUGCACGCAUAAUGGCCCUGGCGAUGAGUGCGUGUGCAAAAAAUUUGAAUGGUUGCAUUAAAAAAUGCAUUAAUAUUUUCUGUUGUUAAAAAAACAUCGGAGAUAAUGGCUCUCUUUUUGAAGAAUAUGCAUGAUCCAUGUGAACCUUCACAAGCUCUGAGCAGGUGAAGAGUCACAUCGAUCCUGCAUAUCCUCGAAAUAGAGUCCCACAAACUGAGAUGUUUGUGCAUUGACGAAAAAAAAUUAUAUAAAGGAAUCAACGGCGCUCCGGCUUAGCGAUGCGGUAUUAAUCCGAAAUGUUAAAGUACAAUGCAUGUUUUUAAUAAAUGCAUCAUGGGCCAGCCGGCGGUAGUUCUACGGGACGGGUCAAGUGGCCCACUAUGGCGUGACCACGUCUAUGAUGCCGUACGUGCGUGCAUGGCAUGGAAACCACGCCGCCAUUACCUCGCCCCAGGACCGCCUAACCCCGCCGCUUCCACGCACGCCCUCACCCCGAUCCGGCGGUCACACCGCCGUGGCCGUCCCAACUCCCUUCCCUGCCGGCCUGACGGCGACCAUACAAUCCGGCAUCUGCGCGCGACUUGGAUCUCAGGCCCGGCCGUGCCGUCUUGGCAAAGUCGCUCGCACCCUAAACCCUAGGACGGGCCGUCGGCCAGCGCGCUGGUGUGGGCAGAGGGCGCGCGGCUGCCACGACUAACCCACACCGAGUGGGGUUAGGCAACGGGGCUAUCGGUGCACGUCGAGACGCCGGAAGGUAUGGUAUUAAACCAUAUGUAAUGUUUUUUUUUUGAAUCUUGUAACUAGUUAGAUAACUGUCAUCUUAUUUAGAAUGCAAGAAUUGGGAGAUGCGUACUGCUCGAUUGAGAAGAGGUGCAAAUUGGUGGGAAAAUUCACACCCAGACAGCACAUGAUGCUAUGUGGCACAAAUUUGGACAGUGUGUUGAGAAUUCCUUCAGUGAAAAUGAGGAAAAAUUUAUUGGAAUUUAUGAUUACAACGUAUGAUAGUAGUAGAAAGCGAUUUAUUAUUCGGCCAAAUACUGAUGGCAUCAGUGUGCUUAAUGAAGAUGUUUAUGACAUAUUCGGGCUACGUAACGAAGGUGAUGAUGUCAGUAGCAUGAUAGCAACAGUACAACUAGAUGCCAAAAAAAUUGUUCCGAAUCGGUUUCUAGACAAAAGAACAAGCCUAAUCCUCAUCGAUGAGUUGAUAAAAAAUAUUGUUGAUACUCAGUCAUAUGAUGAUGAUAUUGUGAGAAGGGUCGUAUUGGUUCUUAUGGGUAUAGUCUUAGCACCAUAAUCCACCAAGUUUGUUCCUUUUCGUUAUUACAAAAUGGUGGAGGACGUGAACGCUAUCAAGUCAUACAAUUGGAAUGAUUUCACGUUGGGGGUGUGCAUGGAUGCUAUUAAAAAAUCGGUAGAAGAUCUUGAAAAAUUCAAGUGGCCUAUCGGGAACUUGGCUCUUCUUCAGGUACAAGUCAUUUCGUAAUAGUUGUAUGUACAUAUAAUUUUUAUGUGAUCUAUGUGUCUGACUAGUUGUGUUUACUAUCAUGCAGUAUAUAUACUGGGAAAAAGUUGAGCCAAUUGGUGUUGAUACAUUUGAUCCUUUGUCUCGUGAAUACCCACUAAUGCUUAACUGGCCAGAAACGGAAGGGAAAAAGCGAUACGACUAUGACAACAUGCACGGGCGUGGCACCGGCAAUGUGAGUCAAUAAGUAUAGUCCUUAUUGGUUGCACAUAGUAAUUAAGUAUAUUUGUUAUUUAAUUUAUUUAUUUUUGUUUGUUGUACAGAUUGAAAACUGUGUUAGCGAAGAGUACAGACGUGCUAAGGUAGCACGUGAAGGGACUGUCUUAGAGGAAGAAACGAAGAAACCUAAACGUAAAGGUGGUGGCAGGAGUAGAAAGCCAAGCACGUCUGCGGUUUCAUCGAACACGACUUAUAGUAUGGACCAUGUGAUGACAUACAUAAAGUUGCUUCACAAGGAGGUUCUCAAUAUACCCGAAAGAUGUGCACAGGUAAUUUAGAAGUUGUAUUGAACAUGUUUUGAUUGUUCAACUACUUAUCGUGUUUCAUUUGUGUUUGCAGAUGGUAAUGGAAAGGAUGAACACGGAAGGUGUGCUGUACAAACCCAAUAAGAGGAACAACAAUGAUGAAUUUGAUAAUGUAGGUGAAGGAGUUGGGAUGGAGAAUGUCCAGUACAAGUCAUCAAAAUAUUGGCCAGAUAUUGAUUCACCUACCGACGUAAAGAUAGGAACAUCUUUCACGGGUAUCAAUGAUACCUCCGUGCCCGUUGAUGACACGGGUGCUCCGGCGACGAAACCGGGUAAAGGUGAAGCUAUUGAUCCUUUCGUUAUAGUCGAUAAUGGAAACUCUCCAUCUUCGGCAUCAACUAUACGUACAAGAGACUUUUCGUCUAUGUCCCGAACCCCGCAGAAUGCUGAUAUUUCUGGUGAGUCUAUGGAUGCUUUGUCACCAACAAAGUCCGAAGACACGUUUGAGAGUUACCCGACAGAGAGCAACUUAGGUAAUGGUGAAGGCAGUCAGGAAAAUGAUGGUAAGCGCAAAAGAAAAAAGUCGAAAUAUUGCCAAUCCCCCUACGUCAUUCUCAUUACCCGCAAGAAACGUGUUAAAAAAGUAAGUCAAGUACUACCUUAUAAUUCAUUCACACGUUAUGUAGUUUUUUUAUUAUUUUUAAUGACUGUAGCUGCAUUGUUUUAGAUAUGUUUGCAUUGUCAUCACAUUCAAUUCUAGCAAGUUCUCUUAAUAUGACUCCGGAUCACAUAGAGGCAGCCAGAGUUUUUGUUGAGACUCUCGCAUCGACAAAGAAGCAUGCACACCAAACCGUGGUUGAUAUGCCGCCACCAGAUGGGGACAUAUGCACGCCAGCUAUGCUUCACGAUGUCUUGACGUUUAAAUGGUUGAAUGGCGCUGUAUGUAUGAGUUUGGUUUUAACAAAACUCUUAUUUGUACUUCACAAGUUGAUAGAAUUUUUUUGUUUAUGUAUGCAGAUCAUCAAUGCAUAUUGUAAACACCUACAACACCGUCAUUUUUCUGAUCGUUACAUAUCAACAAUGUGGUUCCCCAAAUUUAUGUUGAGUAGGGCAAGGGGAAAGACCAAGUCAGUAAAUGAUUUAGACUCAGAACAUGUUACAAAGAAAACAAAAGUCCUCGCAAGAGUAAUGGAUGAGUAUUUUAGACGGGACAAUGUAUUGCUUUCAUAUUUAUUUGUUUUUAUUAGUCAUUACUAUUUAAUUGCACUAACAUCAUUUGGUUACUAUGUAGGUGUAUUUUCCUAUGCACGUUAAUGAUAAUCAUUGGAUAACCAUAAUGAUGCACACCGUCAAGGAUGAGUUUCAAGUUCUUGACUCAAAUUCUAAAGGCGCAAUUAGCCAAAGAAUUCGCAAUAUGAUUGCCACCCUGGUAUGCUAUAAUUUUCACACUCGCAUUCAUAAAAAUAUUGAGUCAUACAUUAAAUUCUGGUUUUGUUAAUUUGUUUCAGAGAGCUGAAAUUUCUAAGGAUAUUAUGGAGGCCAACUCAACUCUUGAAUCAAAAAAGUUUCCAGAUGUCUCAUCGUGGCCAAUUAAUGAGUAUAAUAUGCCGAGACAAAAAGAUGGGUAAGUUAAAUGAGUACAAGCAAGUGCAUACUAUAUCGUAAGCUGAUCACACAUGUUUAUUGCAGAGUGUCUUGUGGACUUUUUGUGAUGUGGUGCAUAAAAUACUGGGACCGAGAUCGCUGGACACAUGAAUUUGACAGGGAAGAGAUUAAUGAGUCAAGGCCACGUAUUGUCGCGGAAAUUAUUUUUUCAGAGGUGAACAAAUUAGAGAAGGUCAAGAUGAAAAUUGUUAAAAUCAUGAAGAAAGAAUAGGUAUUAGCAUCGGUAGGGUUUUAGUCCCGUAGAAGGUUUCCCUACCGUUGUUGGAUACUUUGAUCGAUUGUGUAAUGCGACAUGGUACUGGGACAGAUUUCGACAAUUUUUCACAUUUUAUUUAUCGCUUUCGUGUGAGACUAAACAUUUAAAUGCGUGUGGGAAAGUACUAUUUUUGUUUUCCUAAAAUGUAUCAGUUUGCGGCUGCGAUGUUAUAUGUACUGUUGUUGUUUCUACUCGCGGCGGUCAUUUAUUUAUUAAAAAAUAUCCCCGCCGUCCUGACUUGGCGCGAUGUGGACAAAACCUGCACAAUUUCCCACGUCGAUUCUGGUGGCAGCAGCGGUGCUGGAUCCGACUAAUAUUCCAGCCCAGCCCGUGCGGUCGCCGAUAGCCGAGGCGGUGGUGGGCCCGCGCAGUCCAGCUAGUGCGGGCUGGCCCGAUUCGCCGUGCGCCAUGCACGGGUCUGCUGGCCCAGCAGCCGACCGACCGACAGCCGCGCGCCCGGUGGCACACGUCUCGUCCCGCCCCACCCAGUGGGCACAUGCAAUGAUCCCGAGGGGGAAUAUGGCGAUCUAUCGGCUCAUAAACGACGCGCGUCGGGCACGUGGGCUGAUCCUCUUUGUUGCGGAUGGGGAUGCUGGCGCGUUGUGUCGACUAGGUUUUGUCCCACCUCGCCCGCGGAGAGACGCACCGACCGGUUUAUAUACCCGCGUCGUCGCCUUCUCACAAGCUCGCUACAGAACACUAAUGAAUGCCCUGUUGUACGCCGUGGCCUCCCCGCUCGGCCGCCGAAAGGCCUCCCAGAAGGUGUUGUAGUAUACUGUUCGUGCGCGCGCCCGGCCACGGCGUGGCCUUUUUUUCAAAUAUUUUUUUCACAUACAUUAAAUUUUAAAAAUGUUAAUCAGUUGACAAAGUCAUGUUUCACACAUAAUAAUAAAAUCGCAUGUCUCAUAACAUCGAACAAGGUGGCAUAAAGAUUAACUCAAAGUGCCAUGUCUCUUAUCCUUAAACAAAGAAACUGAAAGUGCCAGUGCCUUCCAUCGAACAAGGUGACUUAAAGAAUAAACUCAAAGUGCCAUGUCUCUUAUCCUUAAACAAAUAAACUGAAAUUGCCAGUGCCUUCAAUUGAUUAUGAAUACUUCAUCUUUAUGCCCGGUUCCUACAUAAUAAAUUGUAAACAACUCAUCAGACAAUUGUAAAGAGAGAAACAAAAAAUAAUUAAAAUAAUAUAAAAAAUACUUUUCAUUCUCAAGGCACGUUUGCCGUCUAUGGCCCUCUUUCUUACAAAUGCCAGAAAGAGGACCGAGUUUUUUCUCAGAAAAUGAUUUUGGUCUUUCAUUUUUUGUAACAUUUGGAUCUUUCUUUGCCCGCCCUGUUGUGCUCUGUUUAGGGGCGUCCUUCGUGGAAACUUUCACGGGAUCACCUAUGACAUCAACAUGUUGUUCCGUCUGAGGUGGCUCUUCAUGCACAUUUCUUCUACUACCAACAACAUCAUUAUCAGGGACCUUUUUCUUCGCUAUUAUAUUCUACGGACACUGCAUCAACUCAUCAAAGACGAAUGGAUCAUUUGAAGCAACAUGAAAAGCUUCAGCUCCUGUUAUACUGAGUUGACUAUAGCGAGCACGCUGCUCUGCCCCUGUCCAACCCCAGCCAAACAUGUCACUCUUCCGCUGUGCAGGCAGCCCACCUCUCGCAACUUUCGACAUCCUCUUAAGGAUGCAACACUUAGGUAUUUUAGAUAUUUUCAGAUGAACCAACACAUACAGAAUGUGUUUGUAAGGCAAUCCUUUCCGAAGCAUUCGUCCACAACUGUAGUCUAUCGUAUUCUCAGAGUUUUCAGCUCGAUAAUUCACGCUGAACUGAAAUUUGCAGUUAUUUCUCCAUGUCACGAUGAAGGUGUGGCAGUUAACUCCCACUAGCGUCUCAAAAAUCUCAAGCUCUCCCAUCUUCUUCAGAUCUUGUUGAAGAAUAUAAAAAUUGGAAUGAGUGAAUACUUCGGCAGCAUGCUUCUCAAUAUCCUUAUAUUCUGUGACUGAUGGUGGCAAUGACUGAUUUAAAACACAGUCAUCAUGCGCCUCGUUCUCACGUAGUCGAACUAUGCAAUUCUCAUAAUGCACAACUAGGUCAACAAUAGUCAUACCGCCGUCCAGCUGAAGGUGAAGACAAGAGUUAAGGCUUUCACUCCUCUGAUUACUGCGCAUACCCAGAAAAAACCCAUCUGACAGAUAUGAUGAUGCCCACAGACUCCUCUUCCUGUAAAUCCUACUCAGCCACUCUUCUGUUUUAUCAGUCUUCCAUUUACGGACGAAAGCGUGCCAUCUCGCCUCAAAGUUGGCUGGAGAGGUGGAGUAGUACAAGAGUGCCCUGAACUCAUUUAGCGAUUUGUAAUUAAGGUGCUUCUGCAUGUUUUUUUCCACGUGCCAUGAGCAGAGACGGUGCAACACAUCAACUAAAACCAACCGAAUAGCUCGUAUCAUUGCAGCGUCUCCAUCUGUGAUGAUUGACCUUGGCUUUUUCUGACAAUUGGCCUUCAGGAAUGUCUGGAGCAGCCACACGUACGUCGCUUCGGUCUCGUCGGACACAAUGGCACAACCAAAAACUAUGGUGCAACGGUGGUUAUUUACACCAACAAAGGGGAUGAACGGCAUACCAUAUCUGUUCAUCUUAUACGUGUUGUCGAACACAGUCACAUCUCCAUACAACUAAUAGUCCCGCCGCGACUGUGCAUCGCAUCAGAACAUGCUCUUCAAACGGCCCUCCUUAUCGAGCACGUACUCAAGAAAAAGUCUGGAUCCUUCUCCUUUCUGCUCUUCAUAAUCCAGAUUGCUGUGUUAGCAUCACCCUUCGCAAUCAACUUCAUUUUUUCUCGGCAACAUAGGUUGUACACGUCGCGUCUCAGAAACCCACACUUAUCAUACGAGCCAUACCUGCUAAUGAAGUUGUCGACGAUGAUAUGCUUUCUGAUCCUAGCUCCUUCCAUCGCCAAGAUCUCACCUAUCUGGUGAUCUCCCAUCACUCGAUGUGACCGCAGAAAUACCACCUCAUCUGGUCUAGCCAACAAAUGGUUGUGAUCAUCCAUAAAAGCUGCCACGAACCAAACUCCACGUCCUUUGUCCAACUUCACGACUAAAUGUGCGCCCACUCGCAACGAGUCUCAGGUCUUAGCCUGCGGGUACGGCCCUCCGGGUUUAAAAAUUUACUGAGACGUUUUGCUGCCCUCGAGCAAACAUAUCGCCUAUACCGAACAGUGGUUGAAAGUCCUUUUCCUCAUUUCACCUUAUCUUGUCUGAUACUGAAUCCACGGUCUUUGGCGUAGUUAUUAUAGAACACGUAGGUCUCCCAUUGUGAUGCAUAUGUCAUACCCAUAACCUUCAACUGUGUCUCCAGCGCACGUUGCUGGAUUUCAGCUUCCUCAAUGUCCAUAUUAGCUCCAUCCUCAUGCUCAUAUCCAUCAUCACCACUCCAACCAUCAAAGUUAGCCUACAAUAUUCCACAUAAGCAAGUGUAAGUUGUCAUUAACAAGUUUUUAUUAUUCAAUGACAUCUUAAAUUUUGGACCGAACCUGGAUUAUGUUAUCCGCGAAAGAUUCAACACCAUGAUUUUCCUCGUUCUGGACGUCAAUAUCCUCAUGCACAUAAAAAAAUCAUAUGCACAUGUAAGUACCAUAUGGUUCUUCAUCCGACGAAAAGAAUGUACACGUCACUUACGUUUUCACUACAAGCACCCUCCUCCUUGUUUUGAAAAUCCUCCUCAGGUAAAUUAUUGUACGACGACCAGGAUUCAUUGUCGCUGCUAUCAUCAUCAUCAUUUUUACUAUCAUCACCAUUCGUACGAUCAACACUAUCGCUACCAUCCCACUCACUCGUGUCCAAAAACAGAUCCGUAAAUCCAGUUUCUUUAUCCAUUGAAUGAUCUCACAACCAACACUACAAUAUUAUAAUAAAAAUUGAUCUAUCAAUUUUAAAUCAAAUUAAAUGUACUACGAUCAUACAGAUGAGAACUUCUUAUCUAACAAGUGAUUGCACAUAAUUAUUUACAGAUACAAUUUUUUGACAAACUAGACGGCUUACAUGGCAUGCACGUGCACUUCGGCUGGCCUGGCGUGGCUGCGGACGGCGAGGACGUUCCCAGAGAGCUUGAUCACGGAGUUGCGGGCGGUGACGGCGUCCACGUAGGCCACGUCACCGCGAAGACCUGCACGGAGGCGACAUCACGUACGGCGGGCGACUCCAACAACGUCCACGCCGGCCAGAUCCCGGGUGAAGACGGGGAGAAUGGUCGGCGAUCGGCCGGACGGGAAGACGUUGGAAUUGGCAGCGUGAUCACGGCUAGAUCGGCGGGGAAAGGCGACGAUCGGCGGGUAAGGGCGGUGAUCGGCGGGGCGGGGCGACGUUGGAAUGGGCCGCGUGAUCAACGCAGGUCGUGGGUAUUUUUUCGCAAGACGGGGAGAGGGUAGAUGCGAGCCGGCCGUAUCGGCUCGAGCCGUGCGCUCGGCUCUACCCGUAUGGGCACGCCGCANNNNNNNNNNNNNNNNNNNNNNNNNNNNNNNNNNNNNNNNNNNNNNNNNNNNNNNNNNNNNNNNNNNNNNNNNNNNNNNNNNNNNNNNNNNNNNNNNNNNNNNNNNNNNNNNNNNNNNNNNNNNNNNNNNNNNNNNNNNNNNNNNNNNNNNNNNNNNNNNNNNNNNNNNNNNNNNNNNNNNNNNNNNNNNNNNNNNNNNNNNNNNNNNNNNNNNNNNNNNNNNNNNNNNNNNNNNNNNNNNNNNNNNNNNNNNNNNNNNNNNNNNNNNNNNNNNNNNNNNNNNNNNNNNNNNNNNNNNNNNNNNNNNNNNNNNNNNNNNNNNNNNNNNNNNNNNNNNNNNNNNNNNNNNNNNNNNNNNNNNNNNNNNNGAAGCAGACCUCAUGUAUGUAUACGUGUGUGUUAUACAUAAACAUAUUAAGAAUAAAUUUUCAACCACACGUCUUUAGUUUGAGAUUUGACUAUAUAAUUUUUGGACAAUGUCAUAUUAGGACACAAGUACUAAAAAUAUAACAAAAUGGAACUAGCAUGGCAUGAUUACCAUCUGGCGCUGACAUCAAACCAUCUGGCAAAUUUACAUGCAACACUUUCAACUCAGAGACAAAAUCAUCAAGAUCAGCAUCAGAUGAUUUAUCAUCAAAAAAGCUUUUGCAAAAGUAGUGCAAUAUUACCAUAGAUUGCUAUCAUCCAAGGACUUCAGAUUUUUUUGAAUUGAAUAGAAACCGAAACACCUUUUCAAAUUUCUUCAACUCCUCAAAGAGACUAGUCAAUGAAAGAAUUGCAGUGUCAACGAUGACUAGAAAAUUAUGAAGAAAAGAGGACACAGGAAAUUAGAAAUUUAUACAUCGGCGAUUGAAACCCUAGACGUGUAGAUAGAAUGACAGAAAAUUAGGAUGGAUAAUGGAUGGAUGAAUAGUUGAAUAUGUACUAAAGAAUAAAAAAGAGCUACUGAAAUACGGCUCGGGGGAAUCAGGGAUGGAUCGGGCCAGCAGGAAAAUCACCCCUCAACACUGCUCAAUUUAACCUCUAAUCUCUAAUCACCCCUCAUCAUUUAAAAUCAUCUAACUUCCCGGACGGUCACCCAUUCUCUCACUACUCCAGCCUGAGCACGCUUAACUUCCGGGUUCUAUUCUCCCUCGUUUCUAAGUCCGCACUUGUUGUUUUCCUGACCACAGUAAGAUCUCAAUACUAUUAACCCUUAGGAAUUUAACUUGAGCAUGAAGUCAUACAUUUCACUGUUUGAGUUUGAAACUAUUGUUCUAAAAAUAAUUAUUAUUUAGUAACACUAAUAUUUCUUGAAUACGUAGUUUGACCAGAUUUGACCAAAAUUCAAAAAAACUGAAACAAUUAUUUAGUAACACUAAUAUUUCUUGAAUAAGUAGUUUGACCAUUGUUUGACCAUAGUUUGACCAGAUUUGACCAAAAUUCAAAAAAAUUGAUAUAAUUAUUUAGUAACACUAAUAUUCUUGAAUAAUUAUUUAGUAACACUAAUACUUCUUGAAUAAGUAGUUUGACCAGAUUUAACAAAAAUUCAAAACAAAAACUAAAAUUUGAGCAUAACUUUUUUUCCUUUUAGAAUUUGAGGAUUCUAAAAAUUUACAAACAGGCCAUAGGCUGUCAAAAUCGGAUGCGGAUUUUCAUGCUGAAUAUUUUGAUAUAUUAUAUUUUUCCUGACAUCGUAUGCAAAAGUUAUAGCCAUUUUACAUUUUCCCUACACUUUUUGCAAAACAUGUCCAAAUUUAAGUUUUUAAAUUUUUCUAAUGCCUCAAAAGGCGAUCCACAGGAGGGGGAGGGGGUAGAGUUUGAAAAUGGGACCUUUAGUACCGGUUCGUGCCACGAACUGGUACUAAUGCCUCAAACCCCAUUAGUACCGGUUGGUGGCUCGAACCGGGACUAAAGGUCUAACCUUUAGUACCAGUUGGCGCCACGAACUGGUACUAAUGGGCAUCGCACUCUUUAGUCCCGGUUCGUGGCUCCAAUCGGGACUAAAGGUCCCAUUUGAACCGGAACUAAUGCCUGUACGGUGCCCUAACCGCUCGAACCGGGACUAAUGCUCACAUUAGUCCCGGUUCUCAUUAGUCCCGGUACGUAAUGCAACCGGGAUUAAUGCUCUUUUCUGGCCGAACCAAAAUCCUGUUUUCUACUAGUGAUGUAUUGCGGCCUUGCUGUAUGCCGGAUGGCCGCGCGGCGCCCGCAGCAACGACGACUAGCGGCGGCUAAGGAGCCGAGCCACAGGUCGAUGGUCGAUGAGAGGACGAAGUUGCGAAGACGAACUGACCAGCGACGAAGGCGAUCGACGAGAUCUUCGAUUUGUUUCAUCAGAAGCAAAACGAGCGGCCGUGGCGCCGUGCCUUGCAUCUGGGUGGCGUGACGCUUCGCCAUCGCUAGCUAGCUAUCUGCAGGGCCGGCCCAUCUUGUUUCUUUUCUCAUGUAUAAUUUCUUUUCAUGCCUAGUUUUUGCUGGGCUAUACUAAUAUGACAUCAUGGGCCCCCUCCCGGCUUGGGCCCUGGGCCGUCGCCCCUCCCGCCAUACCCCAGGGCCGGCCCUGAUACCCUCGCGGGUACAUCCUAUAUGCCGGGACCUUAACAAGACCCACGCUUACGACCUACCUCUACCUUGACCUCUAGGACAUUCAUGGCACUUUGCCCUACAUCUACCUCGACCACCGGGACAGAUCUCUCUCAAAAUGGCUAUGAGCGACACCCAAAAACUACUGGGCUGAAACCAUCACAUUUGAGGUCUGCGACGUCGAAGGCAUCUAUGUUCUUCUGCUUAACUACUUGUUUCUCUGAACCUUUGAAUGUCUAAUGCAUAACUCUCUGAAUAGUUUUUCAGUCUAACAUGGUAAAUAUUUCAAUUUUAACAAGACAUUCUUACCAUUCAGAGCCCCAACCAUAGCCCCCGCGUCGCCCCUCCCGCGGGCGACACGGGCGGUGCCGCCACCUCCUGCCGCUAGCCCUUCCCCUCAUCCCCUUCCCCGCCGCCGCCGGCCAGAGACACAUGGGCAAAGCCCCCGCGGUGGCUGGCGGCGGGGGCCUUCUCCCCUCCUCGCGCCCGUGGCCUGCGGGGGCGGCCAGGCCAGGCGGAGGCGCCGGGGCGCGCGGAUCCUGGCGGCGCAGCGGCGGCAAUCUUGACGGCGGCGGGCCCGAUGGCGCGGCUGCAGAUGGGUCGACGUCUAGCUGUGUGGCGGCUGCGUGCGGGUCUCCUCGUGGCGGCGGCCUUCGCCGGCGGCGGGGCGGCACGUGCGCGACAUCCGACGAGGGGUGGGGACGCGGCCGCGGUGGCUUCCCGUGCGACACGGAUCUCAUCUGGUACGUGGUGAAGAGGCUGCGGCGUGUGCCCUCGGGGAGGAUGGAUAUCCACGCCCAGAUCUGUCGGCGGCAUGGCGGCGGAGGUCGCAGUGGCCGGCGGCUCGGCCAGUCGGCGGCGGCGGAACAAGGCCGGUGGCAGCGGUGAUGUUCUGUCUGAAUCCCGGGGCGGCAGCCCUGGAUGGUGGCGGCGGGUGCAGCUCGGGCUUCCCGCGGUGGCAUGGCGUGGUGCAGUCCCUGUCCAAGGCGGAUCUGUGAGGGCGAUCUGAUUGCGGAUUGGUUCGGAUCAGAGAUGGUGACGAGUGUGUGGGAUCCAUCUUGGCGGAUCUCGCGGUUUGGCGAGGUGGGGGUGGGAGACCUCCUCCCAGGCUCCAGUGGUGGCACACUCUGGCAGUGGCCGGUGCGCCAGGGCUCCUACGGUGGCACUGCUGUUGCGGUUGAUCGCCGGAUCUAGGUGACUAGAUCUGGGUGUUUGAAGGCGGCCGAGACGGUGCACAGGUUGUCGGGUGGAUUCCUUGGGACGGAUCCGGAUGAAACCUGGUAUUCGGUCGUUGGUUGGCCGGAGCCGGUGAUGACGAUGCCCUUAUCAUCGUUUCCUUCAUGAAGGCAUCAUCGAGGUGAAACACCCAACCCCACCCAAUACCUCCGGGGAAAACUCUAGAUCAGUUGAUCGGAUGAUGACGGCAUUCAUGUGUCGUUACCCCCUUGGGGGCGGCAUUUUUGGAGAUGCACUCGGGCUCGAGGGACCAUCGGUUGGCUUCUUCGAUGGAUCGGUGUUUCUUUCUACAUAUUCAUGGCGGAGGUUCUUGGCGGCAUGGAGCAGCGGAGGCUUGGCGUCAGAUGUGUGGCGAUGGACACGUGUAGGAGGUCGACGCUGCCUGGGGUCGUGGUGGCGUCGGCAGCAGCUAGAUCGGGCAAGGUAGAUGCAGCAAUACAUCUCUGAAGAUGGAUUGAUGGGAGGUGGCUGCGGCGGCCUCAUACCUGACAAGCGUCUUGGUUGAGGAGCACGCCGGACUGGUGCGUGCCCAUACCCGGCAGACGUCCUGGUUGGGGACCUCAGGUCUUAAAUGUUUAUGUUUGGCUGCGAGGUCUGUUUGAUAUUAGGCACAGACUAUCAGCAUCCCUUCAUCAAUUGGAUAUGAGUAGCGACGGUGGCUUCACUCUUACUGUUAUAUGACUUUGUAAGGUCUUGUGUGAAUAAUUAAUAAAAUGGCUACAUGGAUCGUCCAGAUGCACAUGCCGGAAUUCCUCCUCCAUUUCUAAAAAAUAAAAAAAAUAAAAAUCAAUGAUCGACUCAACACUCUUGUAUAUACGUCUUUCAUUUAUAUCUCUAACAAAUGCGCUCUACAAAUCUGGGGUUUCCACCAGUAAAAAGAGAAUGGAACACUAGGACUAGUGCAGCUUCCUUCUGAAGAAAGUUGCAGUCACUACUCUACUACCGGCCCUGAAGAACUGUCAUGGCCAUGGUGUUCCUGGUGUUCUCGAGAUCGCUUCUCUGGCUCUUCUCUCCCAUCAUUUCGAUAAAAGCAGGCUGCACCGGCGUCGGGAGGGACAGCGACGACACGCUUCCAUUUUCCAAGAUGGAGACGACCGACGACAUUAGCGGCCUCCUGCUCGGGUCGUCCUCCACGCACAGGAGCCCGACGUGGAUGCAGAGCAAUGCCUCAUCCUGUGAACAGCUCCCUGCCAUGGAUGGGUCCACCAGCUUCCCUGCCUUCCCUUCCCUCCACAGGCUCCAUGCCUAGUUGAAAAUAAUAAUAAUCAGAUUCAACCAUUUGUGUGUGUACGUGUGUACGUGUGUGUGUGUGUGUGUUAUAUUUUCCAAAAGAUGAAUAUGGAUUUGGGCAUGGCAUGGACUGAAAUAAAAAAGGCAUUGGCAGUUUUAGUUCGGGUGCUUACAUAGAUUAUGAGGCUGGGAAACUCCAUGAUGCCCUCGGUUGCGCUUACCCUGAUGCCACUCACGGUCUCCAGCAGCAGCACGCCGAAGCUGUACACGUCGGACUUGACGGAGAAGACGCCCUCCGUCGAGUACUCAGGAGCAAUGUAGCCACUGUCCACACAGUUUUUUUUUGUCAGAAGAGGUGCCACAUGCAUUUUUCUGUUAAAUGCUAACUACUGUACCAACUUAAAACAGAAUUUUUUUUUUUGUCUUUCAGAAAUUUCAGUCAAGUGUUCAGGUUACUCACUAUGUUCCGACGACUUUCCGGGUGUUGGCUUUCACCUGGUUGUCACCAAAGAUCUUUGCCAUGCCGAAGUCGGCGAUCUUGGGCCGCAUCUCUGCAUCCAGCAGCACGUUGCUGGCCUUGAGGUCCCUGUGAAUCACCGUCAGCCUGGAGUCCUGGUGCAGGUAGAGCAGCCCCCUGGCCACCCCCUUGAUGAUCCCCAAUCGCGUCGGCCAGUCCAGCACCGCUUUCCUAGCACUGUCUGCAGAAAAUAAACGUGAGAAACUAUGGCAAAGAAAUAAAUUCAGUAACUUACUUGAGCUAUAUGAACAUUGUAUGUACCAAAGAGGACGGCGUCGAGGCCCUUGUUGGGCAGGUACUCGUAGAUGAGCAGCUUCUCGGCCCCCUCGGUGCAGCAGCCGAGGAGGCGGACCAGGUUCCGGUGCUGCAGCUUGGCGAUCAGAGUCGCCUCGUUCUUGAACUCCUCUGCUCCCUGCUCUGAAUCCUUGCUCAGCCGCUUCACAGCGACCACCUGACCGCCGUCUAGUUUUGCCUUCCCAAUGGUAAACACAAACAAGCAGUGGAGUGAGACCAUGUUUUUUUUUUUUUUUAAAAUUUGGCCACUGAAUUUUGUGCUAAACUGACAGAACAUCGAACUUCAGGUGACUGAAAGACAGGUGAAAGAUAGUAUACCUUGUAGACCUUGCCGAAGCCGCCGCGCCCGAUCAUGAGGGCCUUGGAGAAGUUGCCCGUGGCGGCGACGAUGUCGGCGAACCGUAUGGACGGGAACUCGAGGUCUCCGGUGUGAUCUCCUUCACCGAUUUCGCUCGACGUGUUUGUGGUCCCCGUCCUUGUCCCGGGCAUUGGCGUCUUCUGGCUCUCGGUUUUCCUCCUCUUGUCUGUAAGAUUGUUGUGAUGAGCAUCUUGUCUAAGAAUGAAAUGGUUGGGCAUGGCAGGUUUAGAGGUAAGGAAAUGUAACUGUACCUCUGCAUCUGCAGAACCAUACGAAGAAAAUGCAUGUGAGCAGCAGGACGGCUGCUGACACCGGCACUGCUAUCUUCACGGCAUUUCCGCUGGCCUUUCCACCUGCACAUGCAAAUACAAGGCAAAAGUUUGAUGAAACAACAGUAAACUUUUUGUUCGAAUUCAGCAAAAUCAGACGGAACUCUGAAAAUCUUUUCUUGAAAAAGCUCUGAAAAGUUUGGUUAACUUGAUUGUAUACCCGGGGAAGUGGAAGCAUCAGCGACGGGCACGCGGAGGUAGAGCGUCUCGCCGCCCCAGCGCGGGCCGAUCAUCUGCGCGUCCACGAGCUCCCCUGCCCACACGAUGCACCGGCUCAGCUCGCCCUUGGCGCUGCUGCUCUGCAGGUUGGCGUACGCGUACGCCUCGCACGAGCAGUUGGCGGCGCACCUCGCCGCGCACUCCCCCGCGCUCCGGUUGCCGGUGUCCAGCGAGAACUUGUCCGGCACCUUCAUGGUCGGCAUCGCCACGAAACCCACCCCCAUGCCGCCGCCGCCGCAAGGCGGCAGCGCCUCCUUCCGCCGGCACCCCUGCUCGAACACGCCCGCGCCCCACUCCGACGCGCUCGCCGGCUCGAAGCCGUCGAGGCACCUGCACGCCGCCGGGGCCGCGGUGACGUCGCAGUACCCGUACGCGCCGCAGCGCCUGUAUGUGCUGCACCCGCUCGACGGCCACGACAGGAGCGUGGCCCACGCCGACACGGUGCUGUUCCAGCUAAGGAGCUGGAACCUGCCGGAGCUGGUCACCACGUACCGCGUGGGCGCGGCGCCGCCGGAGAGGGUGAAGGCGAUGGAGAUCUCCUCCUCGGUGUCGACGAUCGCCGUGUAGAGCACCGUGCCGGCGCUGAGGUACAUGCUGGCGACGGCGUACCCCUUCCAGACGGGCGUGCGCCAGUAGGGCCGCGUGCCGUUCCACAUGAGCAGCUGCAGCGACGUGCCGGGGUCCAGGCCGUAGGAGAAGGGGCCCGGCGCUGGGUCGCCGGGGGAUUUCCAGGACACGAUCCGGUUGCCCUCCCCCGUUAGGUGGCUCAGCCGCACCUUCAUCCCCGGGACGAACGUGUCCGUUGGGUGGUCGAAGCUCUGCCACGCCACCGUGCCGUUCAGCGACCGGACGACCAGGUUGCCCUCGUUCGUCAGCAGGGCCGGCGGCGGCGACGAGGACGAGGAGGACGAGCCGCCCGCGCCGGGAGUCCUCCAGAGCACGCGGCCGUCGGCGUCGGACAUGACGAGGCUGGAGUCGUUGGCCAGCGCCAGCGUCGGGGAGCCGGCAGCCGGGGCCUCCCGGUUGGCCACCCAGACAACGGUGCGGGGUGCAGGGAUGCCGUUGUACCAUAUGCCAAGAUACCGUCUCGCCGGUACCGCGGCGUCGUCCGGGGAGAAGAAGCCAAGAGCGAAGGCGCCGCCAUCAGACACGAGGGUUUGCUCCACACGGAGCCUCUCGCCGACGGCCAGCUGGUCCUCGGCGGACGCGCAGGGGAAGCAGACGGCGACGGCGAGGACCAGGACGGCGACGGAACGUGACAGGUCCAUCGACCAAGUUCAAGGUGCGUGCAAGCACAUUAGCUUCGGCGACGCGGGGAGCGCGAUCAGUGAAGGUAGCUAGCUACAGCCUUGACAUUUGAUCAUUCGUGUUCUUGGCCGGCAAGGCGCGCGAUGUAGCCUAGCAAGGCACACGGUGACACGAGCUUGUGAAUUCAUAUUGACUAGUUUGAGCAUGCACCAGGGUCCAGGGAAGUGCAGUGCACAUGGGCGCAGGUGAAAUGGUCUGGUCUACUGUGUGUGCGCGUGACGCGCAAGUGCAUACCGUACCGCGACCUACCUUGUCCAACAAGGACAGUUGAUUCUGUGGUGUUUUGGCACGAGGGCACGACCGAUCUGGUUGACACGGUGGAUUGUUGACAAUGUGGGCGAAUCUCGAGGUUCUCGCCGGUGGUUGGAUUUCGCUGUUCUCGCCGCCGGCAUGCCCAAGGAGGGAAGGCUCGUCGAGGGUGGCAAGGUUUUACCUGCCACACUGGGCUCCUCAUGUCGUUCACGUUCCCGGUCCAGAUCUGUUGUAGCGAGGCGGGGGCCUUUCCUGCAUUCAGUUCAUCGGCAGAACCGACGGGCGCGUCGGAUUCGGUGGCAACCGCGAGGCAGUAUAUGGGGUGCUAGGGUUCCACCCUUCCCAUUUUAGCGUCAGGAUGGACGGAUGACGGAUUUGAUUCCGGCAGAUCUUGUGUACGGGGUUCGGAGCGAGUAGUUUAGACGCGAUGGUAACAAAGACAAGAGAUUUUACCCAGGUUCACCAGCCAAAAAAAAA